CAAGUUACCAGUUACAAUAGUUAAAAUAGGCGACGUGGUGCUUUUGUGUCAAAUAUAAACACGCAUAUACAUAUACGCAGGGAGAAGCCAGCUGUAAUUAUCACGUAUGAUAGUGACAUUACGAAGGAAAAUAAAGUAAUACUAAGAGCAUCAGCAAUGCUGAAACUCUCAAUCUCGAUAACCAAGGUAAGUUUUCUUAUUAUUUUAUUACUUUUAUUUUUUUUUUACUUAAAAAAAAAAAAAAAAAGAAAGGAAGAGCCAAUCGCGGGUCUCCACGUGGCGAUGGGACCCGCGUACAGUGAAGAAUUUGUGGAAGAUUAAUCCUUACCUAAGGAUUAAUUUGGCACAUACUUUUAAAUAUAAUGGGUCCCACAGAUUAUUAUAAUAAGUUUAAUGCUAAGGAUUUUGUUAAAACUCACCAUUGGAGGUGGUCUAAGUGUACGCGUAUUACAACUUAUGGGAACGUAACGGAGAAACCAAUUCCUUAACAUUGCUACUCAUGAUGACGAAAUAGAAUAGGUGAACCAAAUAACAUGGAAACUAAACCCUUACCUAAAUAUAAACUUUAAAUUCAAAUAUAAACUUUAACCCAAAUAGAAUAGAACGAAAUAAAUAACAUAGUAUAUAUUGGUGAAAUUAUGAAAUGUCUAUAAUUGCAAGAAAAAACUUAAUGAUGACCCCAAGUCCCCAACCAUAUACCCUCUCACCUUCAAAAUACUAAACCCUAAAUUAUAAUCACUAAACCCUAAACCAUAAGCUCUAAACCCUAAUAUAAACUAUAAACCCAAAUAUAAACAUGAAUUCCAAAUAGAAUGGAACAAAAUAAAUAACAUAGUCUGUAUUGGUGAAAUUAUAAAAUGUUUAUGAUUGCAUAAAAGAAGUUAAUGAUGAUCCCAACCAUACCUUUUUGCCUUCUAAAUACUAAACGUUAAACUCUAAUCACUAAACCCUCACCCAAAUAUAAACCCUAAACCCAAAUAGAAUGGAACAAAAUAAAUGACAUAGCACAUGUUGGAGAUAUUAUGAAAUGUCUAUAAUUGCAUGAAAAAAUUAAUGCUGACCCAAACCAUACUCCCUCACUUACUAAAUACUAAACCCUAAACUCUAGUCACUAAACCCUAACCCAAAUAUAAACCCUAAUUCAAUGUCAACCCCAAUCUUUCAUAAACUAAACUCAAAUUUCGAAAUACCGGUAAGAUGCAUUUCCAAUUCUACAUGAGAAUAUAGAAUAGAAAUGUGACAAACGAUAUAAUACAAUACAUAUUGUUCAAAUGUUGAAGUGUCUAUAAUUGCAGAGAAGGAAGUAAUGCUUACACCAAAUUCAGAUUGAUUGUAGCGAAGGAAAUGAAGAUUGACGACAUUAAAGAAAAUAGGUGGAAGAGACAACAUCAUAUAAAUAUCAUUCUCAUUCAACAUCACAUUGUAUUUUGUUUUAUUUGAUGUCAUAAUAAAUUUUAUUCCAUUUAAGUUCAAUAUAUUAUUUAUCUAUACAAAAUCUUAUACACACUAAUAUAAAAUAUAUAUAUACACUGAUACAAAACUCAUAUCAAGAGAACAUGAAAUAAUAACGAACAAGAUUGAACCCUCUAAUGCAUUCUUGAUCACCUCAAUCCAACGGAGGUUGAAAUAGUUGUUAAUCUGUCUUUUCAGUGGGUUCAAAACCUGUCUCGAACAAUCUUUUUGAAAUGCCUAAAUCGUUCAUGCCAAACCUAAAGAACAAAGUAAGAGGGAAACAUGGUUAUGACAGAGUAAUUCGUUCUAUUUUAUAUAGAAAAUAACCUUUUAUAUUACAAACAGUAUUGUUGAUGAAAAAUGGUAGCGCAUACGUUACAAAUAGCUAGUUUCCAUCUCAAGUAGAAUAAGUUGUCAAUAGAUUCCAUCUCAAAUAGAAUAGUCUGAACAUAUAGUUUUUCUGUUCCAUCUCAAAUAAAAUUGGCGUAAGAGAUUUUACGCAGGCAAGUUGUAUUACAGAUGUUAUUCCAUAUAACAAAUUAUAUUACUAUACUAUUUACUAUGUAUUUCCCUUAAUGAUCUGUAAUGUAUCGGGAACUUGAGAUCCUAAAACAAAUUGGAAAGUGAAAGAGACUAAUUACGUAUCGGGAACGAUGGGAUUUACGUGGACGAUGGUACAGACUUAACAAGUAUAACACCCUAAUUCUGAGAAGAGCGCCAACUUGAAAGAAAAUAAGCACAGAGGAGGAGACGGUAAAGAGAAUCUACGAAAAAGAAGGAGAACUUACGGGAGGUUGAGAGAUCUGAGAAAAAAUUGAGUUGGUGAAGUUGGGUUGGAAGGGUGUGUUACUAACCGCUGCUGAAACCGUAACGGAGAACCCUGACGCCGAACACGAUUGAAAAGGGAGGAGGCAGGAGAUGGAAAAGCUGUUGAGUCGUUGGAGGAAAACGGUGCCGGAAACUGUUCGACUGCAACAAAAUUACCAGAGAAGUGAAAAAGGGAAGAUGUGAACAAGGGUAAGACACGAAUGACUUUUGUGCUGUGAAUAAUUAAGAUAUUUAAUUAAUUUUCGUAGCAGGUUGUGCCGGUUGAAUUUUAAAGGUAUUACAGUAUUAUUAUAUAUAUGUAGCAGCGUGUAUAGAAUCGUUAGGGUAAAUAGCUAGACGAUGAAUUACGAUUUUUUUUGUGGUUAUACGCUCCAAUUUCCCAAAAUAUUAUAUAGUGAGGCACGUGAAGUCGUGAAUUGUUUCUUAGUGGGUUUUUAUUGCAUGGAUCCCACAAAAUCCAUAAGAAACGGUCACAUAAGAUAUGAAUUAAAAACCGAUUUUUGAGUAUUUUUGCACUGUUUGUGGACUCCACUGAAAUAUGACGGUUUGCGAUUGGUUCAUUUUAAUUUUUUUUUUUCUAGACAAAAAAAUAAAAAAAUUUCUAAGAAACCGUGAAACGUCUACUAUGUUUGGUAACGUACCUUCUUUAGUCCAGCAAGUUUUUUAUACUCAAUCUCGGAAUCACCGAUGACUUGUCUGAUCUCGUCUCUAAGCGUGUCUUGCCACUUAGGAUGGAUCGCUAGAAGCAUGAACGUCCACGUUAGCGCUAAAGCUGUUGUCUCAACGCCGGCGAAGAAGAAUGUUUUGCAUUCGUCCACAAGCUCCGUCGCAGUAAACUCCCCUUUCUCGGCCUUGAGCAAACUUCCGAGAAGAUCAUGGUGGUCGUCUCCUUCGACCAAAGAUCUCUUUCGUUCAUUUAUGAUCGACAAAAGGAGACUGUCGAUCUCUUUACCUAACCCCCUUGGCUUCAAGGGUUUGCUUGAAAUCCAAAAUGCCGCUAAAUGGUACGCCUACGUAACGAUGUGAGUGGAAGAGAGCAAGUUGCAUGGCUCUUAGGUUUUUGAGGAAUUGAGUUGCGUUUUCUCCCGUGACUCCGAAGCUUGUUUUAGCACUUAUCUCACCCGCUGUUACUACGAUCUCUUUCUCCAUGUCGAAUACGGGAUUGCCCGAGUUUAUCUGUAUGGCCCAUCUGUCCAACAUGUUGGUGGUCGAUUCCACCAUCAUAUUUGCCAUACCCUAUAAUUUAGGACGAUCAAUAUAAAGCAACGAGAAUACAAAGCAUUCUAGUAUGAAGCUUUGAUUUAAACGAGAUUUCAUAGAAAUUUAAUAGAAAUUUAGAAGAAGGCUAUAAAGUGAAUUAGAUUAACAACGCUAUUAACUUUGUAUCUUCAGACUGUAACCACUAACCACUGUAACUAUAUGAAAACGUGAUUAGUUUUCAAUCAUUUAUACCUUAAGAUUAAGAGGGGAAAAUGCAGGGGUAAUCAUGUGGCGAUGACGUGUCCAAUCAUCGCCUUCAACCAUAACCAAACCGUUGCCAAACAUUGGCUCUCUGUCUUUCUUGAAUACAUUUGGUUUUCCCCAACUCUUCGCCAAUACACCUUUCGAUAUCACUCAAGAAUUCAGGAUCCGCCACGUACACGAACGGCUCUAUGCCUUGCCAGUACACAAACACUUUCCCUGCAUCACAUAACACGUAUAACCAAUGAUUAUGUUAACAUUUACAUAUAGUUAAUUAAUCCAAAUAUUUGGUAAAAUAAGAAUGUACAAUUUUGUGAAACCGUCAUAAAUAUUAAUAGAGACUAGUACUAAUUCUAGAAAAAUUAUAGUCCAAAUCUCCGGAAAGAACUGAGAGUUAUUAUGUACCGUAUUGUUGUUGCCAAAGAGCAAAAUGUGGAAGCGCAAUGGAAUGUAUGUCAUGGUUGAUUAUGGUGGAAGAUUUUCUCUUCUCCGCCAUCACCAAGGCUAUUUUUAGCUUCUUUAUGUCGUUAAAGUUUCCUAAAGGAAAAGAGUAAUUCUUGGGUUCACCCCCUAGGGUGAACCUAUAGGUUCACCAACCAAUAGUAUUUGAGUAUUUGAUAUUUGAUAUCUUUUAAAAAAGGAAACAACAUUAAAUUUCUAAAUAAGAUUAUCUUUUUAAAAUAAAACAAUAAAAAUACAUAAAAAUAGUUACAAAAAAUAAAUAAAUAAAUAUUUUUAAGUCUUCAGCAAAAUACUAAACCCUAUACCCUAAAUCUUAAACCCUAAACCUUAAAUUUUGGAUAAACUCUAAACGUUUGAAAAUCCUAAACCCUAAAUCAUACAUUAAAAACUAAAUUUUAAUAACACUAAACCCUAAAUUCUAAUCACUAAACCCUAAACCCUUGGGUAAAACCUAAACCCUUGGGUAAACCCUGAACCCUUGGAUAAAUCAUAAUCUCUAGAGUUUAAUUUUAAAUAUUUUUGAUUUACAGUUUAUGAUUUAUGAUGAUUUAUCCAAGUGUUCAGGGUUUACCCAAGGGUUUAGGGUUUAGUGAUUAGGAUUUAGGGUUUAGUGUUAUUAAAAUUUAGUUUUUAAUGUAUGAUUUAGGGUUUAGGAUUUUCAAACGUUUAGAGUUUAUCCAAAGUUUAAGGUUUAGGGUUUAAGAUUUAGGAUAUAGGGUUUAGUAUUUUGCUGAAAACUUAAAAAUAUUUAUUUAUUUAUUUUUUGUAACUAUUUUUAUGUAUUUUUAUUGUUUUAUUUUAAAAAGAUAAUCUUAUUUGGAAAUUUAAUGUUGUUUCCUUUUUUAAAAGAUAUCAAAUAUCAAAUACUCAAACACUAUUGGUUGGUGAACCUACCCAAGAAUUACUCAAAGGGAAACUAGUAGCUGGACCGACAAAUCCGUUUUGUCUAAGCUUCGUUUGAGCUCUAACCGGUGAUAUCCAGCAACGCUUAAAAAGCUUCAAGAACAUAAGGCUAAGAACUAUCACGACAACAUUGAAAAACAAGUACAAAAACUGAGACACGCCAAGAAAUUGAUCCAUCUCGAAUGUCUCUCCAAAUGUGUAAGAAAAAAAUAUUUAUCGAUAUCAGAAUGUUUGCAGGUGAAAUGUGGGAAUCAACCUAAUGAAGUAUUUAUAGUAAACUCGCCUCAAUCUUUUUACUUAUAUAUAUAACUAUUGAACUUUAUCUUAUUUUAGGUUGUUAAUAAUAUGUUUAUUUACCACAUUCAGCCAGCACAAACCAAAGGCAUUUUAUUUGUGAAAUCACUCUCACUACCUAAUUUUGCACAAUCUUUAAAACGUGGGUAUGCCAAAUGUCUAAAAUGUGAGAAGAAGUUAAAUGGUCCAUGUCCAUUACCUCUAUAGCGUUCGCUGUUAUCUUGAUCCACCAGUUUAUUUCUCUCACUAGCCGUCCAACCGUAAAACACGUGUUUUACAAUGCAUGGUGAAAUGGUAGUACAAAAGAAAAGAAGUUUGUUUUACAUAUUAAUAGGCAAAAUCGGGCAGAAACUGUGAAUAAAUUGUGUGUUUAUAAUUUUUAUAAAUCUGAUUUUAUCGUAAAUUUAACAUUAUUUUCUAAAAAUGGUGUCCAAACACGAGUUUUGGUUAUUUAAGACAAUUUAAUUCAGGAUUACUCUUUACAUGAAUAGUGUUUUAUGAAUAGUAAAUCUUCUGUUGGCAACAUCAAUUUGUCGAGGGAGGUGUUUCAAUACAUGGUUCACAAAAAGUAGUAGAAAUGCUGGAAGCAAAGAUAGUUCAACACACAUUAUCGGAAAUAUUUGAUGGUACCAAUUAGUGAAUUAUGCAUUUUUGAGGGGCCUAUUGAAGAUUAUAUGCGUAAAAAGAAGCUUUAUAAACCCCCUAUUUGAUGCCUUGAUGGUUGUGCGUGCUAAAAAUUAUGUACAUUCUCUUUUGUUUUCAGUCCUAGUUAGGAAAAGAAGUUAAGAACAUGAAUCAAGAAGAGUGAGAUUUUCCAUGACAGACAAAACUUUUAGAUUUUCAGGUUAACAUUGUCGAAAAACAUUACACAUAACGUUGAGAAGGAAAAUAAUUUUUGUAGUAACUAGUAGUUUACGGAAAAGGUUGAAAUAAAACUAUUCCUUAAUUUUCAUCAAAAGUAUUUUGAUCAUUAGUUAUACAUUAUUCCACUAAAAUAAAAUGUAUUAUCACGUAUAAAAUUAUUCUACACUUUAAAUGAUAUUUUCUAAUUUUUAUAUUUCCUAUUUAGAAUAACAAGAUCAUAUAGAAAAUUAAUUAGUUAUUUUAUUUGAUAAUUUAACUUAUAAUUAUUUUUAAAAUAUUAUAAAUAUUAACUCUUUUCUAAUUUAAAAUGGAAAAAAAUUAUAUGAUGAUUUAUAUUUAAUUUCAUUCAUUUAUAUUAUAAAAAAUUGACUUUCAUUCACCGUCACAAUGGAUUAAUUAAAUAUGAGUUUACGUGAAUUAAAAGUGUACUAUUAUUUUAGUCAAAGCAUCGUAGAAUUUCAUUUACAAUUAUGAAAUUAGUUUUUUUCCUAGAAAUCUCCACCAAAACACGUUAAAUGACUAGGGGAAUAAUUAUUAAAUUCAUAACUUCAAAAAAAUAACAGUAUACUUUAAUAUAAUUUAUCAAAUAACAAAUUUAAUAGCACUAAAUUUCACGUGUUGAAUAAUUUGAACGACAGAGGCUUUAUCAAUAAUACAAAUAAUCUCAAACUCCCAACCUAAAACUUCCCAAGUAUUGAAGACUCGCCAAGUGUUUUUAGUUAUCUAAGACGAAACUAUUCGAAGAACUUUACCGAAAUAAAUUAUCUUAGGAUAAAUAUAUCUUAAACUUUAACAAAAAAAAAAAAAACUUUGCCGAAAUAAAUCUUUCUUACAACAAAAUAUAUUUCUAUUUUCUGCUUCUUUGUCCGACAAAUCCCUUUUCAGAUUCUUCAUAUCUCCAAAGUUCUUGGAAGAUUUUAGAUUCUACCAUACAUGCCAAGAAAAAGUUUACUCCAAGAAGAAAUUCUUUAACAUCCAGAAAUCUUUAAAGAUAAACAACUCGAAACAAAGCUAAAAUCAACAAAAAUAUACAAAGCUUUUAAGAUUUUUUUAGCCGGUGAUGUGCUGCGACUUGUUGAGGACAACUAAACCUCACAAAACCUACUUUGACUUGAGUUUCCAUACUCUAUCCUUAAACUCUUCCACAACCUCCUUAGUUCGCAUCAUAGAGACAUCUCUGAUCUCACAAAUCUUCAAGCUCGCUUGUUUCCUUAACUCUUCCGCUCUUGACUUUGUUUUCAUUUCCACCUGUUUGGCUUUGUUGCUCACUCCACGAACUUGUUUCUCCAAAGCUGAUAUCAAAAGCCUUAUCUUCUCUACAAUCGAGUAGAUAACAUCUCUGGAUCUCUCUCUUACAUCUUGCGCCAUCUUCUUGAGCUUAGCAACCACAUUUUCACCUCUGUUCAUGGUUCCUUCGACGGAAUAUUGCUUCCCAGCGUUCAACCACGUAGACUCGGUUGUUGUCUGUUCAUGGAGGUCUCUGUCAACAAUCACUUUCAGGCCAUACUUCUCCCAACGCCCUCUAGCUUCUUCCAGCACUUUUGCUUGCUCUGUUGCUCUUCUCGCUUCAUCCUCCGCCCAAUCCCUGGCUAUGGAUAAAGCGUUCCUCUCAACCUCAAGCUCACUCUGCAAGCGUAGUAUCUCCUCGUUCUCCUUCUCCACUUGCUUUUGAAGUCUACCAAACCUCUCCUUCUCAAACGACAUCUCUGCCUUGUUACUCACAAGCCCCUGAAGUUGUUCCUCAAGCUCGUUUCGUAGCCUUGCAAGAGACUCCAUCUCUGUUUCAAUCGACGUGCGUUCUUUCUCCAAUGCGAGAGUCUCCUCUUCUUUCACAACUCUAAGCCUUGUCAGCUCCCUUUUCGCUUCUUCAGCUAAUUUCACCACUGCAUCUACAGUUUCUGUUUCUCUCAAAAGCUCUUUCUCAAAGGUAGCGUUGAUCUCCUUCUCCACCUGAGCAACCAGCGCGUUAUGGGCAGAAACCACGUUUUCAGCCAUAGCCUCUGCUUGGAUACGAGCUAGCUCCUCACUAACUGCUUCACAAGCUUCACCAGUUGCAAGAGACGCAGCUGUUUGGGCUUUUGUAACUGCUUUAGACGGCUGAAACAAUCUGGUACGCCCUACAUGAGACGCAUGCCUUUCAAAAAACUGAACUUGAUAUGAUUUACUUAAGAAGCAAGAAUGUAACUCACCAAAGGCAACUGAUGUUAUUCCAUUUUCUCCAGCAGAUAAGUCAGCUAUAAGGGCAGGCCACGCUUCUGGGUUUAUUUUAUCAAUGUCAAGAAAGCCAGAAAGUUGGUACAACUUCUGAAAAAGAAGGAAGUUAGUUGUGUAAGGUUUAGGACACUGUCAAUGACUAAAUGUGGCAAAAAUAGACAAAAGAACCUUGCUAUCCGCUUCUGGGAGCUGUCGGAAUUCCAAAGCCAUCUUCCAGCUCAAAAGAUCCUGACGUGAAAGAGGACUGUAGAGAAAAAAAAAAGAUUAUGAGAAGAGUCAAGGCUGGGCAAAAAAAAACCGAAUCCGAAGAACCCAGCCGAAUCUGAUCCUAAAAAUUAGUACCAAACCCGAACCAAAAUUGGUGAAAUAUCCAAACGGGUUUAAAACAUUGCUAUCUAAAGAACUAGAACCGAACCCAACACGAACCGAGAUACGAAUAUAUCCAAAUCAGAAUUAUAUACUUAAAUAUAUUAAUUAUUUUCAGAUUUCUUUUAAGCGUAUGUGCUUGAAUGAACCAAUAGCAUAUAUCUACCUUUCUGGUGAGAACUUAAGGUGACCGCUCUCAGCAGAAGGCAUGUUAUGGUUAGAGAGCUUGCUUGAGAUAAUUCCUGCCUCUGCCAAACCUAUAAAUAAUCCAACGAAAGAUGAAGAAAAAAAGAUUAAUCCAUAAGCUUCAUGAUUCAGCAUCAACGUUAAAAAAAAAAGUUCCAUCGAUCACCUUGAAUGAAUGGAAAAUCAGGAUCUUCAGGUGCGAUAUCAUCAAAUGCAAGUUCAGUAACAUUCUCGAUGUACAUUGCAGGAUACACUUUCGAUGCUGAGUUCCUGUAAAAACCGAUGAAGGUGUCUUCACAAUGUGAGGCCGUGAAAUAUUUCAAGGAGAGAACAAAAACCUACCUCGAUAGAACAUUGCUUGCAGAAACCAACCAACGAGCAAAUUCACGGCGUGUGCAUAAAUCAUAAGGCCGAGCAUCAGAUUCAAUAACCUAUACAAAGUUAAAAUAUCAGUUCUUAAACACAUCAGAAACAGUUCACAAUAGUCUAAUAGAGCUAAAAGAAAAGUACCUUUAAUGCUUGUAAAGCUGCAAACAUUUGACUUUGAAUUGGGUCCACAACUGUUGGAAAGAUAGGACUCAAGGGGUUUACUUGUGGAACCGUGGAAGGAGCAGGUAUGCCUGUAUAACACCGGUGUUUCUUCUCCUCGUCUGGGAUUUGAGAAGCAUCUGUAUCUACUCUAUCAGCUCGGCUUUCUGAAGAUUUGUUCGCCUCGUGGUUUUCUUUGCUUGUAGAUGCGGAUUUUGACUCCAAAAGUGGUGAAUCUAAACUAACAUCCAUAAAAGGGAACGUCAAACAUGCAACCACAUGAUGCAAAUACAAUAAAUUCGUUGUACAAUCAUGUCUGAAGAUGAAAAGAAGUUAAAAAAGAUCCAUGUCCAUACCUUUAUAGCUUUCUUUUUCAUCUUGGUCCAUUAGAUUACCUCUCUCAUGACUAGCUUCCCCGACUUGAUCACUUGAGCUUUCAGAAACCAUCACUUCUACUUUUGGUCCUACAGUUUCACCAAAAUUAUAUGCUUCAUCAACUACAUAGUAAUCAGACACUGAGAGAAAAAAAGUUAAGUUGCAUACUAGUUAACACGUGUCUCUUGAAAGAUCGAGCUCCCAAAGCUAGCCCAACGAAGAGAACCAUCCCAGCAGCCACUCCAGAGACCAGUGUUCCUGAAAAUCAAUAAAAGGCAAAACCUUUAUCUUCAUUUUACACUCAAUUAAGCAAAAUCUCUGAGACCAAUCUCGUUUUCCGACAAACUCAGAGCAGAAAAAGUUCGUACCUUUAUACCAAUCGCCACCGCCAGAAUCCGGACUCAUCUCAUCGUCUCCUGAAUCAGCCCACCCGCGAAAACGAUCCGACCCGCGACCCGAUUCUGCAUUAUGUGCAGCGCAUGACGUCCGGAGACGGGGACUGAGCUUCGUCAACUUCGCUCUCGCCGGAGCAGCUUUGAAGCUCCGACAGUUGAGGGCAAUCCUGAGCUGGAGAGAGCUUGGCGUCCAUGUCGCCAUCGCAGAUGCCAUAGUUCGAAAAAUCGCAUCAACUGACAGAUUACAUGUUUUUGCUUUUGCUUUGGUCCGAUGCCUUCAUAAACGAGACAAGAGAAAAGUGAUACGAAAUGUUUCGUAUAGUUAUGGAAAUGGUCCUUGUAUUUAUCUACUACUUCCAACUUGUACCCAUAUUUAUUUAUCUUUGAUAUUGCACAAUAACAUCUUCUUCUUUUUUUUACAAAGAGACCAGGCCCAUUGUAAUAUUGGGCUUCUCACUUAUACACAUGAUGAGGCUCUCAAGAGUAUAAUGUGUUGCAUGUCCAUUGAGUUGUGUCUGAGGCCUGAGGGAGUAGUUUCUUUGGGUAAUGUAUUUAACGACUACCUUUUUUGUCUGUUUCUUUAUAAUAUCUUACUUUAUUCCACUUCAAAAGAGACCAAUAUAUUAAGAGUUAAGACGGAAAAAGUUGGUGGCAUGACGAUAUCGAUCUCCGAGUUGUGAAACAUUGUAGCAGUUACCGUGGAGAAAAUUGGUGCCAUAAACACACUGCUCAGAGAUGUCAUGUCUUCAGAAAGUGUUACAGAUGCCUCAUUCGAUUAUCUUGAACUAAUUGUCAGGUGCUAGAGUUGCCUCAUCGACUAAAACCCCCACUUGUUCUCCACCAUUUCGCUAAUACUUCAAGAGUACAAUUUUGUUAUACAAGAGAGAGUAAUAAAGGAGCUUAACUAAAGUAAUAAAGUAAGAUGAGAGAGAAUAAAUAAUAAAAAGUAGAAAGUGAAAAAGCAAAGUAUAUAUGUAUUUUUAUUUUUUUUUUAUUAAUAUAUAUACAUAUAUAUAUAUAUAUAUAUAUAUAUAUAUAUAUAUAUAACUAUUUGAAAUUCAAUUGUGUAUAUCAUGGGAAAUAUAUAAAUGUUAAUGUCUAUGUUCGUUCAAAAUUGUUUGGCAUUUAAAUCAAAUAAUAAAGUGAAUAAGGUGAUGCUAUGAUUGAAAAGAACUAUAAGAUGAUUUUUGGUUCAUUGAUUGUAUAAUUUUUAUUACUAUUUAGAGAGAAAUAAAUAUUAGGCAAAAAUAUGUAAAAAAUUAGGAAAACAUUAGAAAACAUUUAGUAAAAAAAUUAAAUAAUAACAAAAAAAAUAAGAAGAGAUAGAAGAAGAUGCAUAAUAUAUGUUGGAGAAGUAAAUAUGAUUAUUUACAUAUUUUUACUUGUACUUUGAUUCGGUUGCUGCUGCUGCAGAGUGUUGGCGUUACUCUCACUAAAACAAAUAGGAUAACACCUACUCCAUCUGUUUCAGAAAAAAAGCAUGUUCUAGAGAAAAAUUAUGUUUUAAAAAAAUACAUUUUUUGCACUUUCAAUGCAAUUUUUGUCAACUAAUAAUGAAAAAUUACAAAGUUCAAAAAUAUUAAUUAUAUUUUAAAAAAAUCUUAUUGGUUUAAAAAUAUAGAAAAUAUAAACUUACAAAAAACUAUGCAUUUAUAACUAAGUUUUAAUAUGUUUUAUUAAAAAAUGUAAAAAUUUUAAAAUAUGUAUUAUUUUAAAACAGAUGGAUUAUUGUUUUCUGCUGUAUUUGGCUAAAAAACUUUUCUACUAAAUUUUUCCUGAUUGGUAAAUAUUGGGCUAUAGAUAGAGGGUGUGACUGGUAGAUUUUAAAGUAAUUAGGAGAAUAAAAGUGGAGUAAUUAUGAGAAAAAAUAAACAAAAAGAAAAUAAAAUAAAAUCAGGUGUAAUUAUUUUCUACUUCAGAAACAUUGAGAUAAUAAAGUGUAUUAUAUACCACCAAUUAAACAGUGGUGAGCGUAAGAUAGAUGGAAAUUAAUUUUACCUGAUUGGCAGAAGUUUGGACAUGGAGUAAAAAAAUUCUCGCUAAAAAAUUCUCGCUGGAAGUGAUUUCCAGUCAGAUUCAGAAUAAAAUACUUUUACUCUAUAAUAUUUACUCUAAAGUGAAAUGUUAUCCAAUCACACUCAAAAUUUUGUAAAAGAUUUUCUCACUUAUAAACAUGAUGAGGCCCAUUGUAAAUAUUGGGUUGAAGAUAUAAUUUUUUUUCCUCUCUAAAACUAAACCAAUGAAACUAUGAUAUUUGUAUGUUGAGUUUUUUUAAGAGAUUCUAAUAAUAUUUAUGUUGAGAUACAAUAUCACUCUCUUUCUUUAGUCUUUUCUUUCCUUUUAAUAGGACCUCAUCUUUAUCUUGCUAAUGGAGGUGUUCUUAUGGCACCAUUAGUAGUAGUUCCUCAAUAGGUUUCUAAUGAUAAAAAUAACAAAAAGUAUUGAAAGAGAAGGAGAAAGAAUAACAAAUCAUAAGAAUCGAUUGGUUGCAAAGAAACUUCCACAAGAAAGAGAAAAAACUUUUCUACAACUGUGGCAUUAUUAUUUGAAAAUUGUUUAAUAAAAAUAAAAAUAUAGUUAUAAAUGUUAUUAUUUUAUUUUUAUUGAGAAAUGAAAUUAGUUUUUCAUUGCUGCUCAUGCUCUUAUGUUCUCUUUGACUGAUGGAAUCCAUCUUUUAUUUCCAACAAUAACUUAUCCGAAUUCGUCAAAGUACACAACAAAAAUUAGGGAAAGAGAAGUAUUAAGAGCACCUCCAUUGGUGAGGUGGAGGGUAUCCUAUAAUUUAAAUAUUAAAGAAAAAGAUUAAAAGAAAGAGGCAUCGGUCUUCUGCAACUGAUCUGUUAGAGCAUCUCCAAUGGAGAGUUCUACCCAUUGGAAUUUUAAACAUUUAUACGUGUGUAUGUAUAUAUUAUAUAAGUGUAUGUAAGUGUGAAGACCAUUUUUUGGGGAAGAACCUCAUGCAAAUGUUCUAAAAAUCAGAUAUUUAGAAUCUUUGCAUGAAGUUCUUUCCCAAAAAAUGGUCUUACACUUACAUACACUUAUAUAAUAUAUACAUACACAUAUAAAUGUUUAGAACUUCAAUGGAUUGAACCCCCAUUAGAGAUGCUCUAACUCCACUUUAUACUAUUAUGUCCACAUGUCGUUUCUCUUAUUGCUUUAACCUUUCUAAAUAAAUUUUAAUUCAUUUACAUAACAAAAUGUUACUAAAAUAUAAAUAGAAAAAAGUCUAGGAAACCAUGGAGAGUAUAUGUUACCGAUGGAAGUAGUCUACGAAACCAUGGAGAGUAUAUGUUACCGAUGGAAGUGCUCUAAUACUCGGAGUUUAUUUCAUUUAGAGAAUUGAAAUUACAUGUAAAUAACGACCGAAACAUAAAUUCAGCAGAAAAGAAAAUUUCGAUACUCGAAACAUUAAUAACAAUACACACAUGUGUAUAUGAUAAAACAAAGUCUAUAAAAUUUGUGUGUAAACGGUUUUUAAAGUGGUCGUACGACUAUAGGCAAACCAUAACUGGGUCUGAGAGAGAGCAUAUACUUUGGUGAAUGGUGAUAACCGGGUGAAACCGAUAUUUCAAACCGGGACAAAACCAACGACAAGACGAUCUUGUACUCCAUGGUGGUUAAGUUCCGACCAAUACACAUUCUCCCUCCAAAGCCAAACGGCAUAAACCCCAUCUUAUUCUUACAACCACCGUGCAAAUCACCGUCAAAUCUCUCCGGUUUAAACUCGUUGACGUCGUCUCCCCACAACUUGGGGUCGUGGUGCAUCGCCACCACAUCGAUCCAAAUGUUUGUACCGUUUGGAAUUAGGCGGCCGUUCACUUCAAUGUUUUUUCGGGCUUGCCGUUGUGCGUUUGGCGCCGGUGGAUAUAGCCGGAGAACCUCGUUCAUUACCCAACUCAUCUGCAUAAGAUGAUUGCAAGUUCUAUUCGUUAAUACUAUGUAUGAAUAUAUGUUACAAAAAAAAUAAUAUGCCUAAUUAUGUAAUAUUAAAUGUGGUUUAAUUAACUAAAAUGUGAUUUAACUGAAUAUCACUAAUGAUAUGCGUUUCGCACGUUUUAGUCAUGGAUAAUAACAAAUCGGAUACCCGUUACUAUGGAUUGAUACUGUCAUGUGGCUUAGGAUUUUUCAGUACAUAGCUGAGGUGGCACGUCUAUAAUUUGUCAGCGAAGUCGUUGAUUAGUAUGCACUACUAGGUUUCUAUGUGACCCUUGACUUUGACUACAUUAAUGUUUUUUUUUUGUUUUUCCUUUUGAACACAAGACCACAUAUUUCAAGGUAACUGUAUUUCAAAACAAAAACUGUAUUUUAUUAUUUCCUUACUUUUUUAUUGAUGAAAUAUUCCAUUUGGGAAUUCUUACUAUGGGGAUGCCAACUAAACUUAAAAUAUCUUAGUUUAUAUUUUAUUUCUUUGAGACCUUAAACUUAUUUAUGUACUAAAUUGCACAUUAUGCGAACGCGUUCAAAUAUAACCACGUGAACUGUUGUGUGCUAUGUUUGGUAAAUGGUAACGUACCUUCUUUAGUCCGGCAAGUUUGUUAUACUCAAUCUCAGAAUCUCCGAUGACUUGUCUGAUCUCGUCUCUGAUCGUUUCCUGCCAUUCGGGAUGGAUCGCAAGAAGCAUGAGCGUCCACGUAAGCGCUAAAGCAGUCGUCUCGUGGCCAGCGAAGAAGAACGUUUUGCAUUCGUCUACAAGCUCCGUCGCUGUAAACUUUCCUUUAUCGGCCUUAAGCAACAUUCCGAGAAGAUCGUGGUGGUCCUCUCCUUCGACCAAAGAUCUCUUUCGUUCGGUUAUGAUCGACAAAAGAAGAUCAUCGAUCUCUUUACCUAGCUCCCUCGCUCUAAGGGUUUGCUUGAAGGCCAAAAUAUUGCUAAAGGGUACCCCUACGUAGCGAUUCGAGUUGAAAAGGGCAAAUUGCAUGGCCCUUAGGUUUUUGAGGACUUGAGUUCCGUUUUCUCCCUUGACUCCGAAGCUUGUCUUAGCAAUUAUCUCACCGGCUGUUCCUAUGAUCUCGUUCUCCAUGUCGAAUUCGGGGUUGCCUGAGUUUAUCUGUAUGGCCCAUCGGUCCAGCAUGUUGGUGGUUGAUUCCACCAUCAUAGUUUUCAUAGCCUAUAAUUUUAAGAGCAUCAAUUAAAGUAAUGAGAAAAGGAGAAACAUUCGAGUACGCAGCUUUGAUUAAUUUGAACGAGUCUUAUUUGUAUGGUCUAGUCUUUUCAAAACCAUAAAGACCUUGGAAUUUCUGUCAUGGAAAAUGGUGGCUCAUGCUUUUUAGAAAAUGACUACAAAGUCUAAAUUGUUGAACUAGAUUAGUCACCUUAUUAACUUCCUAUAUUUUGGACUUGCCAAUCAAUGUAAACGACUUGAAAACUAGUUUGCUUUCUAAUCAUACCUUCAGAUUGACAUGGGAAAAUGCAGGAGUGAUAAUGUGGCGAUGUCGUGUCCAGUCAUCUCCUUCGACCAUAACCAAACCGGUACCAAACAUUGGCUCUCUGUCUUUCUUGAAAACAUUUGGCUUCCCCCAACUCUUCCCCAAUACACCUUUCGACAUAACACUCAAGAAUUCAGGAUCCGCCACGUACACGAAUGGCUCUAUGCCUAGCCAGUACACAAACACUUUCCCUGCGUUACAUAACACAUUCAGUAGUCUAUGUUAAUAUUUACAUAGAGUAAUCCAUAUGCUAAACUGAUUAUAGAUAUGUUAUUUCAGUACCGGUUGAAGAAGAAAAUGUUGAACCGUCCGAAAUUAUAUCAAAGAUGAUAUCAAUUCUAGAAACAUUAUGGUGCACAUGUCCAUAACUUAAAUAUGGGUUUAUUUACCGUAUUGUUGUUGCCAAAGAGCGAAAUGUGGAAGGGCGAUGGAAUGUAUGUCAUGGUUGAUUUUGGUGGAUGAUUUGCUGUUCUCCACCAUUACCAAGGCCGGUUUUAGCUUCUUCAUGUCAUUAAGGUUGCCUAAUGGAAAGCUAGGAGGUGGACCGGAAAAUCCGUUUUCUCCAAGCUUCUUCUGAGCUCGAACGGGCAAUAUCCAGCAAUGCAGAAAGAGCUUCAAGAACACAAGGCUAAGAACUACAACGAAAACAUUGAAGAACAUGUACCAAAAUGGAAACGCGUCAAGAAACUGAUCCAUCUCGAAUAUGUAUGAAUAAUUGAUAAUGUGUGUGUUGUAUUAUUGUGAAGACUGUUUAUAUGCGUUUUAGUGCAAUGUUGUACUCAAAAUGUUUGCAGGUGAAACAUAGGGAUCAACCAAAUGAGGUAUUUAUACAUGUUUUCUAGGUCGGACGUAGAAGAAUGUCAGACUUGGACCAACGAAACUCUCCUCUCUCUUUUAAUUUAUUGUAUUGUUAGGGUCUUAUUUAAUGUUGCUACAUAACGUUUCUUUACCAUUUUCUGGUCAAACAUAAUCGGCAUCUAGCCUUCCUGUCUUUUUCCUUUUUGCUAUAAUGUUUUGUCAAGUUUCUUUUUGUUGUCUAGUUUCUCCGGCUCCUUUUUUGAAUAACUGAAAGUGAUGUGAAUGUUUAGAUGUUGUAUUUGAAUCCUUAAAUGGAAAUAGUUAAAUACAGUUUACCCUGUUUUUUUGUUUGUCAACAGAUAAAUUAUUUGUUUUCUUGUUUAACUGGAUAAAUUAUUUCGUUGACCAAAUAAACAAAGGAUAAAAGAUUACAGACCCCUAGGUCUUUUUACAACAUCUUUCAUUCAUUUAAUCACUCAUUUUUCUCCGCCCUAUGUUUUUGGUUUUUAUAAUGAUUUUAUGAUUUAUAAUAUGAUACAAAAAAGGAUAAAACACGAACUCUCUUUACUUGUGUUAUUGGAUUUAAACCAGCUUUAUACAACAUUUUCGUUCGUUUAUAAUUUAAUCAUAAUUUUUGUCACUUUGGUUUUAAUAUUUGGUUACUUCAUUUUUUAUAAUUUAUGUUUAAUUUCACAUAUAUAAAGAAAAGACAACUACAGUAAUAUAUUAAUAUCUUUAUCUUUAGGGCUACAAUAUCUUUUUAUCUUACAACAUAUUAAUAACAAGCUAAUAUCUUUUAUCUGAACGUGAUAUUUAACUUUAAAUAAAUCUUUUUUGUUUUAACUUUUCCAGCGAAUUUCACUUUUCAUUCUUUGCUUUUGCAAUCGUUUUUCCUAGACUUUUCCUUGCAGUUUCCAUUUACUUAGUGAUCACAAUAUUAAUAAUUUUAAAUUAUUAUUAAUGAUCUGGAUUAUUAUCACCAUUAAAGAAAUUUCAGUAACCUAAACUCUCUAGGUGAAAAGCAUAAUGUUUACACUCACGAACCUAUUAACUAUCUAGUUGAAAGUCAUCAUGUCUAUAUCAAAAUGUGUUCUCUUUUUCAUUAACCUAAGUCAAUUUUUUUUUUUUGUAUUUAUCAAUUUAUGAAUACUAAUACAACAAAGUUUUACUGUGUUCCAUCACAUACAAUUCUCCAUUUAACAAAAAGUGUAUGAUAAUUCAUCUAGUAAAAUGAAAAUUACAAUUUAAAUGGUUUCAUUAAGAUUUAAUAUGCCGAUUAACAAAAAAUAGAAUAUCACAAUCAAAUAAGACUGUACAUGUAAAAAUCAUCCACUUUUAUGAACCAUUAUGUGCAAUUAGAGCUGGGAAUUUCCCGCGGGGCCCGCCCCGUUUGACCCAUUGCAGGGGAACAAUUUGAAAAUUUUCAAUCGCGGGUGCGGGUGCGGAUGCGGAUCGAGAUUAUUUUAAGCGGGACGGGUGCGGAUCAGCCGAAUUUGAAUCACGGGUACUUUCUAAUCCGCAAUUUUUUUUAAAAACAUUUUUUUGUAAAAGUUAUAAAAUAUCAUAAAUAGUUAUAUAAUUUUAAUUAUAAAUAUAAUAUUUUAAUAUAUAUUUUUAAAGAUAAUUAUUUUUAAUUAUAAAAUAAUUGUUUUUUAAUUAAAAUUAAUAUUUUCCGUGGGUUUGGCGGGUUACCCGCGGGUUUUUGCGGGGCGGGUGCGGAUAUAAAAUUUUUUGAAUAAAAAAAUGAUUCGAUCCGCAACAGAGCGGGGCGGGUUGGCCCGAAAACCCAUCACUAUGUGAAAUCGAUCACUUUCACUAUCUAAUUAGUAAUUAUAGUAGUAAAGAAGAUUCUUAAAAUUGUUUAAGAGUUUAAUGUGAAAACGCUUAGGCUUCAACCGGUUAGCCCAAAAUAAGGCAGUUUAAUAAAAUAAAUAUUGAAAGCACAUCAAUAUUUUUUUAACUCCAAAUAAUUAAAAUAUUACAAACUAUGAAAAAUAUUACAUAUAAUUUUAUAGCCGACAAUUUUUUUUUUUUUACUUACAAUGAUUCACUUCUAACUACAUCAUUUAAACCACUUUAUAAGAUCCACGCUUAAUAAUAUUCUGUAAGCCAUGUUGCAGGUCUCCUGUAAACAUUUUAUUUUCCAAUUUGUAUAGUUUUGUCUUUUUAGAAUUGGAAAUGUAGACAUCUAAUGUAAAAACAAUAACGAACACUUAGAAGCAUAUACAAUUUAUUAUUCUAAACCACUUAACAUUGAUAUAUGUGGGGUCUCUUUAUCAGCAGAAGACAGCUUCUUCUUUUGUCCUUUUCCAUUUUUUGGAGUUUCAGUGUGUUUAAGAUUGGCCCAUGUGCGUUAUAUAAUUUCUUUUUCUAACAUACAUGUGCGUUUAUAUAGUUGUAUAAUAAAUAUUAGUUACGCAAGUUAAAUAAUCGUUCAAGUAACGAGAGUACGUAAAGAGCAAUGGUCAAACGUUUUUCGUCUAAACUGCGGAUAGAUUUUUUAAUCUCACGCGUAGAGCUGUAACGACUCGAGAGAAGAACACAAGAUAUGACAAAUACGAAAGAGGGUCCUCUUUUUUUUUUUUAACUUCUGAAAUUCAUUAGGAAUUGAAAAGAGGUACAGAGGUACAGAGGACUCAAAUAACCCAAACCACAGAGACACUCUAAAGACCUGAAAAGACACACCUUGCCUAAAAACAGAGACAGUUGAACCCCCAACCCACACCACACCAGAGAACAGAGGACACAUUAGAGGAGACGACUUUCAUUGACAAAGAAUUCAAAAAGCCAAGAGGGAUGACCAGUAGCCACAUAAGAUUGCAUUCUUCCUUCCCUGGUAACACUUUGAGCAAUGAUUGCCGCUCCUCUAUUUUCCUCCUUCAACACGCUCAAUAGCUGGUAAUCCGCAAUCCCCUGCAGCAGCGUCUUUAGCUCCACCACCUGAUAACGCAAGGCAGGCCACUGGAGUGGGUUUUGCACCGCCAUGAAAAUUUCUUUAUAAUCCCCUGCAAAAACUACUUUGGUGUAAUGCAGACUCGACAUGCUUUCCACUGCCCAAAGAAUCGAAGCCAGUCUAGCUUCAGCCAAGCUCCGCACAUUCGAAAAGGCUCUCCGGCUAUGCAUACGUACCACUCCUCUAUGAUUCCUUACAACCCACGCAACACCCAUCCGGUUUGAUUGCUUCACCCAAUCAAAACCCACAUUACACAUCAACCAAUCUUUUCGAGGGGGGCUCCAGUUCCUUUUAAUCGAGACUACCUCAUUUGCACUCCGCUUAGUAGUUUCUUCUUCUACUUCUUGAGCUAAAAACCACUCCUCUGCCUCAUAUACAGCCUUCUCCUUAAUCUCUUCCGGUAACCAUCUUCUACCCUUGAAGAUCAAUUCAUUUCUGCUCUUCCAAAUACCCCAUAACAGCCACGGCCAUGUUCUAUUCACUGUUAUCUCUCCACGUUUACUGUUUUUUAACUUUAACAGAUAGUUUAGGUUUCCAAACAGACUUCCUUCAUCAAAACCAAUCUUUGGAUGAGGGAUCCCAGAUAAAGCCCACACUUGUCUCGCUGGAUCACAUUGGAACAGAGCAUGAAGAAUAGAUUCUCCCUCAACGCCACACGACUGGCAUCUUUCAUCAAUCUGCAAACCUCUCUUGAUUAUAAGCUCAGACACUGGCAGUGCUUCACUCAAGACUUUCCACAGAAAAAUCUUAAUCUUGGGGGGCGAGGUGAUUUUCCAAACUUCUUCUUUAAUGGGGUUCAGAGAUGGGAGCUCCAACACCUCAGGACAGCAUUCCUUAAUCUUUUGAUCCCUCGCUAACCAGUAAGCUGAUUUCACCGUCAAAUUACCAGACCUAUUAUGCCUCCAAGUGAAAGAGUCCUCAUGAGAUAUCGAUGGUGGGUUUGAGAGUAUCAGCUCCACAUCGCUAGGGACAAAGACCUCUUGUAACGCCGACUCAUUCCAUUUCCUCGACGUUGAGUCAAUCAGAUCUCUAACCAUAAGAUUGACAUCAAAGGUAAUACAUUUGAUCCAAGGAGCUCUCAAACCCGUCUCCGGAUCAUCUAUCCAUUUGUCGAGCCAAACUCUCGUGUCGCCUCCAUUCCCUAUACUCUUUUUCAACCCCUUCUGAAGAAGCUCCCUACCAUGAAUGAUGCUUCGCCAAGCGAAGGAUGGUCUAGCUCCAACCGGGGCUUCUAAGAAGUGAGAGUUAGGGAAAUACCUGCUCUUGAGAAACCUUGUCAUAAGACACUCUUGAUUAUUAACCAGUUUCCAAGCUUGUUUGGCAAGCAAGGCUUGGUUGAAACUCUCCAAGUCUUUAAAACCAAUUCCUCCGAGAGCUUUAGGAAGGCAGAGUCUGUCCCAGGAAGACCAGUGGAUUUUGUUCACGUGAGCUUCUGAAUUCCACCAGUAAUUUGCCAUAAGGCUCUCCAGAUUUUUUAUGAUCGUUUUAGGUAAUCUGAAACAAGACAUUGGAAAAACAGGAAGGGCUGCUGCUGUAGAUUUAAGGAGCACUUCUUUUCCACCUUGAGAUAACUUGCGCAGAAACCAACUGUUUAGCCUACAAUGCGUUCGAUCCUUAAGAUAAGAGAGCAACUCCACCUUAGACCCAGAGAAGCAUUCCGGCAUUCCAAGGUAUUUGCUUGUGCCUCCAAUGUUAUGAAUGCCAAGGAUGUCUUUCAGUUGCGCUUUUUCCUCCUCCAAAAUCAGACCCCCAAAAGAGACAGAGGACUUUUGAUAAUUAAUGCACUGUCCAGUUGCUUCUCCAUAAAAAUUCAAAAUCUUUUUAAGAUUUCUACACUGUUGGACUGAAGCUUGGCACAAGAACAAACUGUCAUCAGCAAAUAACAGGUGGCUCACUGAAGGACCUGUUGUCGAGAAGCUGAUUCCCGUGAUCAUUUCAUUCCUUUCCGCCACAUUCAGCAGAUGAGAUAAGCCUUCCGUGCAUAAUACAAAUAGAAACGGGGAAAGAGGAUCUCCCUGACGCAAGCCUCUUGAAGGAGAGAUUAAACCGAAGGGUUGAUCAUUAAUUAGUACUGCAAAGGAGACAGAGGUAACACACAUCAUCACCCAACAAAUCCACUGAUCAUCAAACCCCAACGCCUUUAAUAAAGACUUCAAGUAACUCCAUUCCACUCGAUCAUAGGCCUUCGACAUAUCGGUUUUCACAGCCAUAAACUCAGAAGAAAUCCUCGGAUGCAUCCUAAGUGCAUGAACAGCUUCAUGAGCUAUCACAAUAUUAUCUUGGAUUAAUCUUUCGCUGACAAAAGCUGACUGAUUAGAAGAUACCAAGUCUCCCAAGAACGGUUGCAGUCUCCUAACCAGUAUCUUAGAAACAGCCUUAUACAAAACCGAGCAAAGGCUGAUAGGUCUCAAAUCUGCCAUGUUCUCUGGAUUUGUAAUCUUUGGAAUAAGACAGAUGUACGUGAAGUUCCAGUCAACUGGUAAGGCACCUUUCUCAAAAACCUCUUGAAUCUCUUGAGUGACCGAAUCCCCUAUCACACCCCAAAAUUUUUGAAAGAACAAACCCGUCAUACCAUCUGGACCGGGAGCACUCUCAGCAUUGAUCGAGAAGAUUGCUUCCCGAACCUCUUCCUUGGAAAACUUACAAGUAAGACUUUGGUUCAUAGAUUGAGAGACUUUCGGAAGCAUACUGUGAAACACAGGAUCAUACGACGGGGGGUUAGAUGAUUUAAAUAGUUCCGAGAAGUACUGGAUAGCGACUUCGCCUUUAGCAGCAUCAGACCAAUGGUCCCUCCCAAAUUUGUCUUUAAGCUUCACUAAGUAGGUUCUCGCUCUGUUAGCUUUAACCGACAUGUGAAAAAACUUAGAAUUUCUGUCUCCUAGUUUCAGCCAUUUCUCUCUACUUUUUUGCCUCCAAAACAUCUCCUCUUCUUUGUAAGCUUGCAUAAGUUCCUUUUUGAUGUUCUGGAUAACAAACCAGCACGAGUAAGGCUUGGACUGGAACCAUUCCAAUCUCUCUUGCAGCGACUUAAUCUUGUCCUUCGCAUUAAAUCUUCUUUUUCUCUUCCAUUCACUCAUCACUUUCCUGCACUUCCGGAUCUUGAACGUUACAGAAGACAGACCUCUGUUUCUACCCCACGCCAACUCCACCUCUUUCAUCGCAUCAGGAUGAUGGAGAAGCCUCCUAUCAAACCGGAACUGACCCCUUUGAAUAUCUGAACUUGCUCUAAGGUUCACCCAUACAGGUCUGUGGUCAGAACCCCUUUUAUCCAAAAAGGUUUGAUUUGAAUUAGGGAACCUUGUGCGCCACGCUUUAUUGCCAAAACAUCGAUCAAGACAACACUGAAUAUACUUCUUCCAACGCUGACCCGCCCACGUGAAUCUGUUUCCUUUACUGUCUAACUCUUCCAUCUCACAGGACAUCAACAUCUCCGCAAAGAACUUGAAAGACGCCUCCGGUCUACUCGGCCCACCCAGCUUCUCAUCAUUACUUAGAAUUUCAUUGAAAUCUCCAACGAUCACCCAAGGCUCAGACCUCCCAAUUCCCAAACUGGUGAUCCGAUUCCAAACUAAGCUUUUACCAUCAGAAGCUGGCUCUCCAUAGACGCAAGUCAAAAAGAACGAAGAGUCACCAAAUUUCACAAGACAAUCCACAAUAUUUUUAUCCGAACUUUUAAUACAAAGGUUGACAUUUUUCUUCCACAAAAUUGCUAAUCCUCCACUGUAUCCAAUAGGAUUGACAGUGUGAACUCGCUCAUAUCCCAACCAAACUUGUAAAUCUACAACUACAUUCCGACAUUUCUUUGUUUCCAUUAAAAAGAGAAUCUCCGGGAAGUGGUAUUGACGCAACUCCCGCAGUCGUUGAAUUGUCAAGCCUUGAGGCCGCCCCAAGCCUUGACAAUUCCAGCUCAAGAAGCUCAUUGGGAAUGGGGCAAUCCCUCAUUUGGGAUCGCCUUAAGGCAUACCGCCUUGUUGGUUGCUUUGAUCUCCUCUUCCUCCACUGAACACUUCCUCUUCUUACUACCCAUCAACUGUUUGCCCUCUCUUUGGUUUUCAGGCGGUGCUUUUACUUGAUCAGUAAGGACCUUGAUCCUUCUCUGCCUUGUUGAUUUAGGCGGUCUUCUCCUCACUGCUGCUUUGUUUUUCACGAUCCCGGAAGAACAAGGAGCAAAGUUAGAAACUUUUACUGCCUUGAACACCGUUGGAAAGUUAGAACAAAAGGAACCUUCUGACGCAAUGUUAUCCUCUCCAUUCUCAAGUCUCAGAGCCUGCGGAGCAGAACGCAGAGAGAGCCUCGAGUGAGCUUGAAACGAAGCCGCCAUAAGUUUGUGGGGAUUACUCUGAACACUAAGCUCUUCAGCAUCCUUCUUAUUCUCCAAGUAAUCAAACACAAUUCCUUUGCCUUUGUUUAGCUCAGAAGUAAACAAAGGAGCUGACUCCAAUCUCAAUGCAAGCCUCUGCGACAGAGGAUCCUUCUCUGCAAGCUUGACCGACCGUUGAAUCUUGUCUAUCUUAACCUCACGAUUUUCCCCUGUGUCCGCCAAGAGAUAUCUUCUCAUUUCCUCCAAUACUUCCUUAGCUAUCUUACACCUUCCCGUAGCAGAGUUCAUGUUUACUUGUUCCUCCUCCAGAACACCAAACAAAAUGUCAUCCUCAUCUAUAACUCUUUUCUUUUUCUCUAGUUCUGCAGAAAUCCUCUCCCUUCUGACUUUAGACUCUUCCUGUCUUUUCCUCACAAUUAAAGGGCAGAGAUCCUUUUCGUGAUUGAGUCUCUGACAUUCGAAACAUCGCUUCUGAACUUUCUCAUAGCUAAAACGCACCACCGAAGAUUUUCCUUUCGACGUCACCACCUUCGAUGUACGUAGCGGAUUAGCAACGUUGAACUUCACCAAAACCCUAAUGUAAUCCUGUGUAAUAGGCCUAGAGGGGUCAAAAGCCACCAACACAGUCUUCCCCACCAGAUCACCUAGCGCAGUGAGCGCCUCUGAGGUGUAGAAGUUUACUGGGAUAUCUCGCAUCUGAACCCAAAGCGGGAUAUACUGAAGAAAAUCCUCAGGCGGGUUUUCUACCCAUCUCUCCAGCACUAUGACCCAAUCAUCGAACGUUUGAACACCUCUCUCCAAAAUGUCUAAGAGGUCGUGUUCAUAUUUGAAUAUGAACUGGAACCGUUCUUGAGAUAGCGCUAUACCUCUAACCCUUCCCUCCUUCUGCCAUUUCCUCGGCAUCUUCAUAAUGAGAGUAGACAUCUUUUGGCGGUCCGGGUUCAGAAGUCUUCCCAUCAAGCUGAGUUUGUUUUCUUCUGCUGAGCUAAACUCAGGAAGAUCUGGCAUCGUAAAUGGAACGUCCUCCUCAUCAAGAGAUAACGCCAUUAAGGCUUUAUCCAUGGCAAGCGACAUGGUUUAAUGCUUUUAAAUCUCGCUACUCUUCAGUCAAUGCUCACCCACUUAUUUCUCUAAACUUCAAUGUUUGAAGAACAGGAAGAGAAACAGAUGAGAUUUGAAUAAAGCAGGCAGGAUAUACCUCGAAAACACCCAAAAGCGUUGACAAAUUCUUAACCAAACGUGUUUCAGAAAGAUAAUCGCAAAUAACCAAGCGAUAACAACUUAUUACCCAACGGAUAAAAACCUAAAGCCCACUUGGGGUGACUUACGAGGCGAUAUUCUCCCUCUUCUCUCUAAACGAAAGAGGGUCCUCUUUAAACAGCCUUUUUGUUUUUGUUUUUUUCUUAAAAUGUGAAUUUUAUUUAUUAACAAAACAAAAUUGUUAUGAAAGUCUAGAUUAAUACAAUCAAUUUUUAAAACAUGGCAAACAUGUCAUUUUAUUUAUUUAUAAAACAAAAUUGUUAUGAAAGUCUAGUCUCAUUUCUUUUUUUUUUUUUUUUUUUUUUUUUUUUUGAAUUAUACAGAGGUAUCCUGGCCUCACAGAAGUGAUCCAGACUAGUCACGUGUUGCCACGUGUCGGUCCUCUGUCCCUGGCGAUGCCGAAAUGUUAAUUCCCCAGUGGCCGGGAUUCGAACCCAGGUGGCGGUACUCACAGCUGUAAGCCCUUUACCACUAGAGCUAGAAGCCCCGGUUAAUCUAGUCUCAUUUCAAGUCGAAUUGAAAUCAAUCUAUUGUAAGUUCCUUAUGGAUGAUUAUGAUAUGGGUAAAAUGGAGGAGAGGCAAAUUUGGUGCCAAGUUCGCUAAUAGGAGAACGUAAAGCCUUAUGUUUCCAUAAAAAUGUGAUCUUCAUUAGCCAUUUAUUGUGGCAACAAGCUAUUCCAAGAUCGUUUAGCAGCUCACGGUCCACGAACUAUUUCUUCUCUGAAACUUUCGCGUUAUUCCUAAUUCUAACAAGCUUUGUGUCUGUCUCACUAGUUACAUCCAUGAGGGGUUAAAUGAUUAACUUCUCUGGAACUCAAAGCUUGGUGAAAGAUACCUUAAGAAGUAUUGUUUUUGGUUGGUUUGUCCAAUGGUUAUGUCUAUAUUUAUAAAUAUUUGGGCAUUGGUUUAAGGAUUUAGAAUCUUCUAGGGCAUAAAACGUAUUUACAAAUCUUUGUAUUGUUACAACUGCUAAAAUCUUCUUUAAGUGCACGAUAUGAUAUUAUAAAUAUUUAGAUUCAUUUUUAUAAAUGUUUUUUGAAAAUCUCCAUUGUUGAAGAAGUUAAAACACUUCGAUCUGGAAAGGUUACACAAUUUUUAAUUGGUCGUAUAUAUCAAUUAAUCCGAGAUUUAUUUCUAUUUCAACAUGUUAUAACAAAUAUAACAUCCUGUUUUUCAUAUCUUUUUGAUAUAUGUUCUUGCAUAUAUUGUUGCAAUAAAAAAAUCACAACCUACAAAUUUCAUUAAAAAAACUCAUUUUCUGCUAUUUUACAACAUAUUGAAACCAUGAAUAUAUAGGCUAUAGGAAAUGAUAAUCCGUAAUCGAGUCUCUAAACCAUGAAUAUACAGAAAAUGUGUAAGUAUAACAAAUUAUAUUAUGAAUUAUUAUGUUAGAAUUUAAUGCCACUGUUUAUAUGUGUCCGUAUCUUUUCUGUAAGAUAAUAGCAUAAAGUAUAGUUGUAUAUUUCUUCUUGCUUUUUAGAUCGUACAAAAAUAUAAAGUACAAUAUAAUGUAGUCUAGAUUCGUUCUAGGUUUAUGCACACAGAUUAAAAAAACAUAUAAUUUUGUAUAUUUUCAAAACAAAAACACAAUUACCUAUACAUCUAAUCAUAUUUCAACCAAUAGAAAAAUAAAUUAUAGAAUCUUAUUAAUAAAUUUUGCAUUGAAACUCUAAAAUAACGAUACUUAUUUUGAAACGAAAACUUUUUCCUACAACUACAAUUAAAUCGAAACAGAUAUAGUAUAAAGUAUAUGAGUAAAAUCAAAUAUCUUAGCUAAAUUACAACUAUUUCGGACAAUGGUUUCAUAAAAACAGCACGAUUAUGCUGUACAAAGUAAAAUGCAUAUAAUUCCGUUGUACUAAUUGAUUGGCUAAAUAAAUUGUUAGGAUAGAUAUAUAAUGGGGUUUAUAGUUAAUAGUAAAUAAUUUGUUAGUCUGAAAUUAUAUUAUUUAUAAUUAAUAUAAAUAACAAAUUUUAUAAAUAUCCCUAAAGAUUAAGUCUAAAAUUGUGUUUCUAUUUAGAGAUCUUAAUUUAUGGAGUUUCCUCCAUUUCCAAAAAUUCAAAUUAUCCUUUUUGAUUGCAAUAGUAUGUUUCGGCCUGCUACUCAAAGAAAACUAGAACAGUUAAACAGUUUCUGUAUCAACAUCGAAAAAGAAAACUCUUGAGGAGUUCCUCAGUCUUAUAUAACUCGUAAUCUGCCCUUUUCCGGGAAACAACGAUCAUCCCAUGCUACUCUCGGCUUAGUUGUAAUGUGAGCCAAAAUCGUAAUCUUUGGUUUUAUUCUUUGAACAAUCUUGUUUUCUACUAAGGAAACAAAAAAAAAAUCUUUAACAAAGAGUUGUGUCAAACUAGUAUCAUCGAUCAUUUGGAAUCUUUGUCAGUUCUGAACAUAUUAUAUGCGUUUACAUGAGACUAAAAAUAUUUUCUUUUCAUCUUUUAAGCUGAAAACCACAAACGAAAGAUUCCUUUUGACGUUUGUCAUUAACACACACACAUAUAUAUAUAUAUAUAUAUAUAUAUAUAUAUAUAUAUUUAUUAGGAGGAACUUUUUGUUUGUCAACAGUUGAUCAAAAUUGUCUAUUAAAUAAUAAAAAGCAUGAUCUAAAAAAAGUUGAUUUAUUUGUGCAUGUAAGUCAAAUAUUUUUUGAUAUUCAUUAAUUAUUUGAUAAUUAUAAUAGUAAUGAUUUUUCAAAGUUAAAUAAACUAUAAAAAUCCUCUAAAACUGUAUAAACUAUUUUUCAAAGUUAGAACACUGUCUCACAAACUAACAACUAACUAAUUGACUAGUGAUCAAUAUUAAUGGUGACAAUUAUGUGACAUAAAUGGUCGUUUAUGCAGAUUCCAGCCACAUAAGUAUCAUGUGAACGGAACCAUAAGUAGUUGUUUGUUUGGCUUCUUGAGGCGUGCCUAUGUUUAUGGGUCCACCUGCCUUCAAUCCCAUGCAUUCACGAUUCCUUCAUAUAAGACUGAACCGCGUAGAGUGAUCAGAGUUGGCUUAAGCACCCGACUAUCUCAAGCUUAAAAUAAAUCAACAUUGCACAUCUAAACAUCAAGAUUAGAGGUGUAAAAAUGAGCUAGCUCUGUCAACUCAACUCAGUUUAUAGUGAACUCGAAUCUUUUAUGAACUAGUUUAAUUCUGCUCAUUUAUUAUAUAAAUUUUAAUAUUUAAAUUCGAAUUCAGAUCAUCUAAAUUAUAAAUUAAAUGAGAUAACUCGCGAUCUAAUAAAAAAAUAAUUACAAAAUAAAAUAAAAUACUAAAAUAACUUCUCCAAUAUUAUUUGAAAAUUAAGUAUUAAAAAAUCCAAAACAUUAAUAUUAAAUACUAAAUAAAACCAACACCUAAAAUAAAUUAAAUUAAAACUAAAACAAUGAUCCAAAAUUUAUAUUCCUCGUGAGAGUCUUAAGAAAUUUUAAUUAAAACAAUAAAUAUGAUAAAUAUAGAAAUUAUCUUUUUACAUAUGGAAAAUAGAAUUUAUCUAAUAUAUAUAUAUAUAAUUAUAAGUAUAAAAAUGACAAAUCUCAUGAGCAAGGCCUUGCCUGAAAAAAAAUUGGCAUAGAAGCAAAAAAAAAUUGACCUAUUAUUUAUAUAAAAUAAAGAAGGUUAAAACUGUGCCUACAUGAAUUUAACCCUCUACCUAACGUACACAUCAUGAUGUUCUGACCUAUUGAGCUACAACCACUUUACAUAGUUAUUGCCCUUGUAAAAUAUAUAUCUUGUCCGGAACCUGAAACACAUGCUUUAUUAACUUCCAUUCAGGUUCGGUCCUGCUCAUGAAUUAGCUCAUGUUCAUUAUAGAUGGUUCAUUUAACUUCUGAUCUAAUUUAACCUCAAUCACUAAAUCCAUUUAUUAAAUGAAUCUAAAAAAUAGAGUUUGUGCCCAUGAUAAAUCUAGUGGAGAUAAAACAUCUCAUGAGUUAUAACUCACAUUGACAUCUCUAACUGAAAUUAAAAUAGACCAUUAACAUAAGCCAAAUAACUUACUCAAUAAUACGUCAACAUUAUUGACAAUUUUUUUGUUAUAAUAUUGUAACUAAAGAUCAUCUCCAAUGUAUUUUGUUAUUUUCACUUCUAAAAUAAAUAAAUUAUAUAAUAGAGAUGAGAUAUGUCCUAAUGUAUUUUUCAAAAAUAGCAAAUUCUAAAUAUAAAGUAUAAAAUAGAAAGAAUGCUAUUUUUUCCUCUUUAAAUAGAAAAAAAAAAUUAAAGAUCUCUAUUAUACUAGAAGAAAUAGAGGUAGAUUAGAACAAUUUUACCUCUAAAUGUCAUUAUAGAGGGAAAAAAAAACCAAUGCAUUGUUAAGUAUCACAUAAGCUACUCUUUUUUUUUUUGAGAAAAGGGCUUUUAACAUAAGCUACUUGUAACUCAAGUAAAAAGGCCUUUACUACACAUCUAGCUUAUCACAUAAGCUACUUGUUACUUUGACCUGUUAACAUUCAAAACAAUUUGUGAAUAAUUUAAAGAACUCGUUGACUGAACAAUUUGAAGUUUUCUCAAAAAAGAAAAAAAAAUUAGCUUUGACUUUAUGUAUUGUUUAUUUUUUCGGGUUCGAAGCUUUGACUAUUUAGAAAAGUUCUUUUAAACAAACACUUCAAUUUUUUUUGUCAACAUCACUUCAAAAUUCAAUCUCGCUUAUAAUAUUUGACAUUUCCCCAAACAUCACUUUAAGAUCAAUCACAUUCAUCUAUUUUUGUAACAUUCUAGGUGUACAAAAAAAACUUUUUCUAGUUUUCAAACGCUACUUUCGGCAGUAGGAUGAAUCACCUUCUUGUUUGCUUUGUAUUAGUCGUUCACUUUUGUGUUCGAGUUUUUCAGUUCAUGCCCAUCUUGGUUAGAUCUCUCAUUCGGAUUUCACAAGAUUAUAUCACUAUUUUUAGUCUUAUUCGCUACUAAGUUAAACGGCUAAAAUACCAAUUACUUUUUCCAUGUUUUUAUUUUGUCAUAAAACCAAUUAAGAGGUAUUAUAUUUUGUUAUCACAUUUUUUAAUACCUGAACCAUCCAUAUAUUAAAAUGAUAUUUACAUCUUUAGCAAAAAUAAUAAUAAUACUACUUUCAAUUUCUUUAACCGAAGAUUACUUGUAUCAGUUGUACAUAUACUUUUCAUGAUAUGGUAAUUAGAAAAUAUUAUGAACAAAUUAGUUCCUCAAGGCUUAACGCAUCAGAUGUAACUAUAACUCAAUUAACUCAUAAAGCUUCAAAAACAAAAAAACACACACACAAAUUACUCAUUAAUUCAAGAAUAUGCAAGAAAUACCACACCCCGUUGAACAUUUUUUUAUUGAUGCACUGAUAAUACACAAAUAAAUAUUAUUAUAUAUUUUUGACAAUAAAAUCACAUAACCAUAAAAUUUAAAGAAUAUCCUAAUUAAAUUAUAUUUGAAUAUAAAUAACAAUGCAAUAUUUAUUUAAUAAAAUAUAUUAUUAGAUAUAAUUGUAGAGCCGGUUUAAUUAAAAACUGGAAAAUAUAAAUUUGGAGCCACUUCUAUUUAAAUACUUUAAGGGUCUAAUUUCUAAUCAGAAAUGCUAACAUCUCUAUACAUUAGUAUUUACUCAUCGACACUGUAAAACAUCACAUGUUCGAUUAUUGGAUUUAUGUUUACGUAGUUAUAAGAAUAUUUUGCUUUGUGUAGGCCUAGGCACAAAACCAGUAAUCUGAAAUCUGAACCAAACACAGACCAGAAAACUCGAUACAUACUCAAUUUAAAAUGUUAUAAUACUCAAAUAGAUCUUGUUGGGUGUUACAAAACAUAACCAGAUUUAAAAUGUUAUGAAUCGAAUCCGAAUGCGUAAACUUAAAAACCUGAAAACCACAACAAAUGAAAAUCCCAAAAAAACAAAUCUGAGGAAAUCGAUCAUAAUAUCCAAAUUAAUAUGUAAUAUAAAUAUUUGAAACAUAAAUAUGUACUUCAAAUAGUAAAUUCUAUAUUUAUUUUGAUAUGAUACCUAAAGUGAGUAUUUAAAAUUAAAUAAGUACAUUAAACACUCAAUUUUAUAUAAACAAGUAUUUAAUUCUUAUGUUUUGCUUUUAAAUAGAUUUUACUUCGGUAUCUCUGAACCGUUAUAAUCCGAUUUCAAACGAUAUAUAAUUAUUUUAUGGGUUUUAAAAUGUAGUAAUAAUUAGAACCGAAACGGAUGUAUUAUAUCCAAACCCCGACAUGUACUUACAAAUUGCUAGAAUUAGGAUUUAGUGUGUGUUACAAAUUAGAACUGAAAUCCAAAAAAUCUGAAAUACUCGAUCUUAACCCCAACGGAUACUUGAAUGCCCAGAUUUAUCUUUGUAAAUGAAAAUAAGCUCUCUUUUUCCUAAUCUUACAUCGGAUUUAUUACCUACCUGGUCCAUGUAACCCCAGGAUCGAACAUAAUGCAAUUAACAAAAAAAAUGCUUAUGUUUUAGUUGAGAGAAUCACGUAAGAUAUGUUGCUUUAAUGUAGAGUUGUAGAUAGACAUUAUUAACACGGCACAUUCCUAAUGUAAAAAAUGUAGAAAUUAAACUCAACUUCCUACAUAUAUCCGGUGUAUAUAAUGGAAACUUCUAUUAGUAACGUAAAGCACGUGGACAAACGUAGAUAUGACAAUAGGGCUGGGCAAAUAAACUGAACCCAAAAAUCUGAACUGAAUCCGAUUCGAUAAAAAUGAAUUUGAACUCGACAUAAAUAUCGAAUGAAUUUUGUUUUUUGAUAUUUUGGGUUAUGGGUAUUAUCCGAACCGAACCCGGACCUAAAUUGAUAUCCGACAGAAUCCGAAACAUUUAAAAUCACAAAAAGAACUUCUACCAAAUAUGAUCUUAAUUCUUAAUAUGUAUCCAAAAUACUUUAAGAUAUUAUUAAACUUCUAAAAUGAUUAUCUAUUACAUUAAGGUUGAUGGUGGAAUGUGGCGGUUGAAGCCUGAAGUUUUUAGAUUUUGGUUUUAUUUUCACUGAAUAAUGUUUCUCAUUUCAUGAGAACUUAGUUUUUGUUUUAUGAUUUCAUUUAUCUGGUUUUCUUUCUAUCACUAACUAUGUUUAUCUUUCGGUUGAUUUUGAAUGAUCACGUUUGAUGAUUUUUCUUAUUUUUGAAUCAAUUUUUCUUAUGUUUUGGCUAUUGAAAUAUGUACAAAUCAUGUAUUUUAAAUCAGAAAAACCGAUUCAUGUAUAUUUCAGUUACAAAAUAUGUACAAAUCAGGUGUUUUAAAACCGAAGAACCGAUUGGAACCCGAAUCCGAAAGUACAAUGGGUUAUACCGGUUCUUUGAAGAUUUACUAACCUCGACCCGAACCUGAUAGAACCCGAACCGGUCCCGAACUGAAAUUUUAUAUAAUCCGAAUGAGACUGAUUUUGAUAAACCCAAAAAACCAAAACCCGAAUGAAUAAAACCGAAACCUGAUUGGGACCCCGAAUACUCAUAUCUAGAUGACAACAUAUAAAUGCAGAUAAAUGUUUAAGAACUAUGAUUUCUGAAAUCUUUGGGAGCAUAUAAUAUAACUAAAUAUGGCUAAAUAUGUGCUUUUAUUGUAGCUUGUAGAGUUUGACUUGUAUUCGGAUUUUUUUUUUCUUUUCCUGAAAGCCUGAAAGACUUGUAUGCGGAUUUGAAGAGAAUUAGAUAACGAUACAUUUCAAUACCCUAAUAAAUUCGCCAACUACUCAUGAUUCUCUGAGUAGUAAGCAUGCACCGACGUCUGUAUUUACACAGCCCUUUAUAACAUACUUAAUCACACGAGAAAAAUAACUUUCUUGCGGAUGAUCCGUACUAUAUUGUCAACACUGAAAUUUGGGGUUACAUGUAACGCGCAAUGCAAGUCCAAAACUUUAUCAUUUUGAUUUAUAUGCAUUUAUUUUGUUAUUUUUUAUACAUGCGUUGUAGCGUUUAACGACCACAUCUUAUUGUUGCUAGGUACACCACAUGUAUAUCUGGUUGGUUCAUUUGUUAUGCUUUUCAAAAUUUUCACGACUUCUUUGAUAUAGUUUUUAAAUUAAUAUUAUACUAAAAUGCAUAAAAUGGAUAUAUUUUCACUUUAAAUAGAACAGCCACAUGAUUUUCUAUUUGAAAACUAUGCAUAGCUAGUCUUGAACAUUUAGAAUCCCAAAACAUAUAAAUUAUUUUUGGUCUAUUAGUUAUUAAUUUUUGAACUUUUGUUAAAACAAAAUCUCCAAAUAUACAAAAUAUAGGAUUUUUUUUCUCAAAAAUAUAUUAGAAUGAUUAAAAAUAAUGAUGAUAUGUUUUGUAUUUAUAAUUUAAAAGAAGAUAAAAACGUAGAAACUAAUAGUGUCCUAGCCCUUUUUCAAAAAAAAAAAAAACUAAUAGUGUCCGGAAUCAAUAGUUCGUGGAUAAUCUAUACCUUUACUUUAAUAUGUCAAAUCUUGUAUGUUUUUUUUUCUCGACAAACAAACCCUUUCGGCGUUAAAUACCUAAAAUAACUAUUUAAGUAAGAAAUUAAUAUUUAGCCAAAAGAAAGUUAAAAAAUAUUUAAUGAUGUAAUUUCAUAUGUAUUGGUAAUUAAUUGUUCAUUUAAUGUGAACCCAACGUACGAUUCUUACAGAAUCACAAAAAAAAAAAUCUUGACUUCACAAUUUAAUACAUACUUAUCAAAUAGGAAAUCAUUUAUCUCCACAUAAUAGACAAAAAAUCAUUUUUCACCACCAAUUCCCAGUAUCCUAUAAUCCUUGUGUCUAUCAUCGGUCACUAUCAUGACUUAACCAACAUGUUAUACUCGUUUGUAUUGGCAAACUUAAAUCAUCAGUGCUGACGCAACAACUUAUUUGCUGGCAUCCCUUCUUACGUAUGUACUAAAAACAAAUGUUGUCAAAGACUAAAUUUAGGUUCCUGGCUUCUUGACCGGUCUUGGCAUUUCUAUUGCUUUUCUUGGUAGCUGCAUGCGUGAUGCCUCUUGUCUCGGAGUCACAUAAUAAUAUUGAUGACUCUAUCGUGUCGAGGUUGUGAGAUAGGUGUAGUUGUGGCUAGUUGAUUGUUCUCCUCCAUGUUGUUAAGGAGAUUUUUAGCUUUGUAGGAAAAAGUUUUCUGGAAGUAUCCUUUUUAAUAGUUUGUUGAUUUUUUCUAUGGUGAAAUGCAAUCAUUUGUUAUGUGAUUGUGGUCAUUGUGACAUUCACACCACCGCUUCGGGUUCCGUAAUGUUUCUAGUCCUUUCAUUAUCCGAUGCCACUUGAAAUGUGAAUUCAUCUGCUUCAAAAAAACAAAUAUAGACAGAUGGACCUACUUAUGAUUAAGGUCUUUUCAAACAGGGAAAGAAAAAGUUUCUCUCUCCUUCAACUCUGUUCCAUCUCUACGAUCUGACACAGAGGAAGGAGGAGAUGAAACCUCGGCUUGAGCUUCAUAUGGUUCUGGUUCCAGUCUAUCAGAUUCGAUUCUGGGAGGCGGUGAGUCCUAUACACCGACGUCGCCAGCUUAGUUUCCGAGAACCAGUGGCUCCGACAGCAUCGGUUUCGUCAGCUUUAGUUUCUGGGAAUCGGUGGCUCUGAAAGCACCGUGUUCUCCGGCUUAUCGGUUUGUGAUCUUCGGUUUUGCUCUCUCUUUGCUCAAUCGACUCUCGAUCUGAGACUCCAUGUUGGUUGUUCUUGGGUCGAUCGUAGAUGGUUGAUAUAUUUUUUUAAAGCGUGGAUCUGUGGUGGGUUUGACGGGUUUGAGGACGGUGUUUGGAUCGCGUCUCUUUCCGACGAUCUCGGCAUCUUGUUUCCGGUGUGUUUUCCGGUGGAUGCCGUUUUCUGUGUCGACGGCGUCUUGCAUGUCGGGGAAGAGCGGAGGCGAUCUGAUCUUACGACACGUGCCCUCGAGUGAAGGUUUCGAUAAGAUGGAGCGGCCUUGUGACACGUGUUCCUCUCUGGUGAGGAUCAUAAUACGUAUCCCGACCAUGAAUCACGUGUGGUUCGUUAUGGCGCUUAUGGGUUUGGGGUUUUGGGCUGCGGUCCACUUUAGUUUGCUAAGUUUGCCCUCUGUAUUGGGCUCUAUGUCCUUUUUGUAUGGUGUUGUUGGGCUUUGCCUUUGGACUUGGUCCAAUUAAUAAAAUCAUGAUGGAAAAAAAAAAAGACAGAUGGACCUACUUGUCAAGGUAAAGUUAACAAAAAAAUUUAUCAAAAACAAAUGAACUUAAUAUAGAUACUAUUUUUGAAAUUCACAUAAAAUUAACAAAUAAUUAUUUUUAAAAAGGAUAAUUUUAUAGGAAUUUUUUUUAGUUUAUUUUCACAAAAAUAGCAUUCAAGGAGAAAAAUGACCAAAUUUUUUUUACUAAAGGAUAUAAAUACAUUUAUACCCUAGGAUUAAUUAAUAUACUCUUAGGGUUUAGAGUUAAUGGGCCGGGUUUUGAAGAUAGAGUUUAAAAUUUUACAAAAUAAAUAAUAAAUAUUAAAAAAUUAAAAUAAAAAGGGCUAUUUGAUCAUUUUCUUCAUUGAAUGCUAUUUUGUGACAAAAAAAACUAAAAAAUACUAUUUGAGAGAAUUCAUUUUUUUUUAAUGAAAUGCAAUUUUAAAAUUGCAUAUAAAUCAAAUCAAAACAAAAAUCAUUUAAAAACCAUGAUAUAUACUAUUUUUAGAUCGUCAUAAAAUAAAUAAAAAAUAAUUAAGAAAGAAUAAGAGGGUGUAUUUAAUAUAACAUUUGAGGUGAUUUGACAUUUAAUAGAGUUUUAGAUGAUAUCAAUAAGUUGUAGAGUUUUAGGUGAUUUAUGUUAAACUACUUUAGAAUAUAACUUAAAACCAUGUGAUCUGAGUUUUAAUUUUUUAGCUAAGAAACUCCACCCAAACACCCUAAAAUCACCUGAAAAAUUUAAAGCUCCACAACUUAAAAUAUUUUUAGUAACAGUAGAUUUUAGAGUACUCUACAAAAUGUUAAGUUCAAUAACAGUAGAUUUUAAAUGAGUUUUUAAAAUUCAUGUUUGAAUAACAGUGAUUUGUCAUUUUAAUACAAAUCACCUAUAACCUCAUUUGAAUACACCCCCCUAAGACUUGAAAAAUAUAAUUUUUAAAAAGUUUGUAAAUUAUAAACUAGAUUAACAAAACUAACAUCAUUUAAAAUUAUGGGAAAUUUAAUGUUUAUCACUUUCAUGGUACCACUUUUCAUCUUUACCACCACUAAAGGGAUAUUUUCAAAAAUAUAUUCUUCAUUAAGUGGCAAAAGUCUCUUAUACCCUUAUUAUCUAUAUAUAUAAUAAAACAUUAUUUAAAUAAAAAAACAAAAAAAAACUUAUGUUUUCGAAUUAUACUUUUAAAUUCAAACUUUUUUUUUAAAAAAAAUUGAAUUGUUUUUUUCGAUUUUUUUUUCAAAAUUUCUUUUUGAAAACCGAAAUUAUGUUUGAAACUAUUUUUUAUUUUUUGUUUUAUAUUUUUAAGUAUUUAUUUAUAUAUUUAUUAGAAUCCUAAAUUUCACAUUCCAAAAACCUUACCCUACCCCUCAACUCUAAACCCUAAGUCUAGAUUAGUUAACCCUAGGGGUAUAAGUGUCUUUUACCCUUCAUGAAAAGUGGUAUCAUGAAUGUGGUAUUUGUGGCAAUUUCUCUUAAAAUUAACAACAUUGUUAUUACUAUAUUUGAAAAAUGACAUAAAAUUAAAAAUAAUAUUAUUUCUAUUUGAAAACCGUAAGAAUUUAAAUCACUUAUAAUUAAAAAGGUUAAGCUACAUAAUAUUGUAAAUUUUCAUAUAAAAUUUAAAUAUCAAUAAAAGAUACCAAAUCACAAUUUUUUAAUUUAAUAUUUUAAAAUUAUAAGAUUUCCAAAAACAUUUCCAACAAAAUAAAAUAUAAUUUAUAUUAUAUAGGUCAUUAAUAAGUUUUUGAUAAUUUAACAUUUAAGAGGUUAAUUAAAAAUGCAUGUCCUAAAGUAUGUUAAAAAUAGAUAUAUUAUUUUUAAACCAAUAUGUUACUAAUAUAAAAAUUUCUAACUUUACAAUUUAAAAAAAUUAGUAUGAAUUUUAAUAUGUAUUUUUGAUGUAAUAUAAAAUUUCAGGCUAUAAACCAUUAACUAUUCUUAAAUAGAAUAUUAAGCCACUAAUAACAAUAUGUUAAGUAUUUAUUUUUAAAAAGUCAAACAUUCCAAAAGAAAUAUUUUUCCAAACUAAAAUAGAAAUUUAUAUAAAAUAUGGUAGAUAAAAAAAUAAAUGAUUAAUAAUAAAUCAUCUUAAUAAUAUAGAUACUAUUUUGAAAAUUAACAUAUAUAAAAUGCAAUUCUUAAAUAAAAUCAUAUACAUAUUUCUAAGUACAUAUAAAAUAAACUAACUAACAAAAUAAAUAUCAUUUACAAUUAAAGAACAUUAUAUACUAUUUUUAGAAAUAUUACAUAAAAUUACGGAAUAUAUUUUAAGAGAGAAUAUUAUUUUUUUGUUUUAAAUCAUAUAUAAAUUUAGAUUCGAUAUAAAAUAAAAUACACUAAAAAUAUUUAAAAUUAAUAAAAUUGAUAUAUACUAUGUUUAGAAAAUGAUAAAAAAAAUUAAGAAGAAUACAAAACGGUUUUUUUUUCGAAGCUAUAAGAAUUUAAAUCAAACAUGAUUAAACAAGUUGAAGCUACAUAAUAUUUAAAAAAUUCAUAUAAAUUCAAAAUAUCAAUAAAUUAUACCAAAUGACAAUUUUAUUUUAGUAUUUAAAAAUGUUAAAAUUUCAAACAAUAUUUAUUGGAAAAUAAAAUAAAAAUUAAUAUUAUGUAGCUCACGAAUAAUUGAGUUUUGUUUUUAAAUAUGAUUCAAAACUUGAAGUCAAAUGCAAAUAUGACAUGUUUUGGAAUUUCAUUUUCCGUAUUCACCCUAGAAGUUCAAGUUAUUCACAAAAAUGCAAUUAUUAUUUUUCCAAAAAUGAGUAUUUUACUCAAUCAUCAUCAUCUUCAUCAAGUAUUUACAAUAUUGACAUUAUCAUCAAUACACCAACAAUCAUGAAACCAAUUUCAAGCUCUAGAUGCACCUAAAAACUAGAUAUACUCUUCCUAUCAUCAAUUCUUAUCCACACAAACAAUUUCUCUUUCACUUUCUUAUUAAUUUCAUCCCAAAGCACAAUAUUUCUCUUACAAAAUUGGUGAGCUUAUUGAAGUCACUCAAGUUCUUGAUUCUUGGUCAAUAACGAGUGGUUAUCUUCCGGGGUGAAGUUUUGUGUCUUUGAACAAGUUAAGCAAGACAUCUCACGGUUUCUAGGUAUGAUUUUCGUUUUUUCAGAUCUGUUCGCGAAGAUCUAGAAGUCCCUUGUCAAUGCUAGAAUAGUUUUGCAAUUUAUUAGUUGGUAUGUUUUUCGUAAAGGACUUCUACAAACUUUUCUUUAUAACCAAAAAAAAAAUAGAAGAUUUUUUCUUUUAUAAGCAAGUUAAUUUUGCAAUUGACCGAAGUUUUGCAAAUAUUGACUUUUCAAAGAAGACUUCCGGAGAAUUAUUCUUACCAUCACAUGAAGUCUUCGAAGUGUCGCAAGAAGUAUGUGUAGGUUCAUUUUUCAACUGACAAUAAAAAAAGUAAGCAUUUAAUAUUAAUUAGAAGACAGUCUUCUGCUUAACGACUUCUCAAAAAGUCUUCUUUGGUUUUAUUCUGAAAUUAUAUUCAAAUAUCGUCAACUAACCUAUGCAGAUUUCUUAUGACACUUUGAAAUGUAUCGGUCAAUCGCAAAACUAAGCUGCUUAUCGAGAUUUGUUUUUAAAACAAAAGCAAGCCAAUAUUCACAAAGGAGGACUUCUCUAGAAGUCUUCUCUAGAUUAGAUUUCUUAAGAACUCUUCCUUCGUAAAUUUGCAAUUGCAAAAAUGACUUAAAUGGAAGACUUUUACCGAAUUAUUCUCUUAGGAAACUUCUGUAGAAGCCUUUUACUUCUGUAGAAGACUAAAACAUGAUUAAAUUAGAUUGUUUUAGUCUAGAAACUUAUUUAAAAAAGUUGGAGCUUUUUUUAUAAACCUUAUCGCCCUAUCCGGUCAGCUUCAGAAGGAACACAUUUAGUAUUACAAAGUGGACUGGAUACAACACUGACUGAUCAAAAUUUGAAAUGCCUUACAACAAAUACGAGAGGUAGCCAGAUCGUCUAUUACUGGAGUAGCAUGUAAACUGCAUAGGCCGAAACCUAAACCCAAACUAGCCAAAUAGUAGAAACUUUGUUCUCAACAAGAAUCGAAUCAUAGACAUAUGGAUUUACACCAUACUCCAAAUCUAAAAUUGCCAAAAGAGAAUAAAAAAACCAGGUUGUUGUCCCUUUGGUAUAAAACUAGUUUUGUCCAUUUUUUCUCCUUUUUACCCUUUGUAUUUCUGAAAACUAAUGAAAUAAAUAAUUUUGAGAAUCAAAAAAAUUAUUAAAAAUAUAAACAAUUAAUAAAACAUCCAUAUACACAAGCUGGUAAUUUUGUUUUGUUCAAAAACUUGGUAAAUAAGAUUUUUAAGAUACGUUCUACUAAAAGUAGAAUGCGUCUUCAACAUAAAAUAGUAUAGUAGAAAACAAUUUCUAAAAUAAACACGUUCAUCUACUUCUUUUAGAACGUCCAUUUUACUAUUUACUAAAUUUCUAAAAAAAAGGAAUGUGCAUUCUACUAAUCGUAAAGGUAUCCACUUUCCUUCCGAAUGCAUCUUCUACGUUUAUAAAGUAUUCUAAAUUUUAGGGAAUGUGUUUUCUACAAUGUACUCUUACGUCUACUCAAAAUAGAAAAUGUAUUCAAAAUUUUUAUCAUUCUUCUAAACUUUUAGAACUCGCCUUCUACGGAUAAGAAUACCUGAUUUUUUGCGAAAAUUAAUGAAAUUUCAGUUAAGGAAAUAUUAUAAAAAUCUCCUAAAAAUAUUUUAACUUCCUAAAACGUGUUAGGGUCGAUUUUACUUGAAAAAAUUAAAGAAAAAAUGAUUCUCCCUUCUCUUCUUCAUCAAUCUAUGGUUUUUCCAUAGUUUUUCUUUUGAUUCUUCUCACAAACUCUUGUUCUCUAUGAUGCAUAUCUAUACCGUUUUUUUUUUUCGAUUGCCUUUCAAUUUUUUUUUCAUUUUUUCCAUUAACUUCUUUUUUAAAUUCAAAUUAACUUUUAAAUUGUGUUUAAUUAGAUUAAAUAUAGGGAUAGUUUUGGGAUUAUGAGAAAAAUUAUACUAUUGAGACAACUUCAUGUUGGUUUUAUACCAAGGGGACAACAACCUUGUUUUUUUGUUCUCUUUUAGCAAUUUUCCCAAUCUUUUAUCACUAGAUUAACACUACUUGGUUAGAAAAUGGGAAUUGUUGAUAAGGAGAAGAUACUCGUUUUGAACUAUAUUUACCAAAUGGAACAAUUUUGAUUAGUUUUCAAAAUCUAAGAGAUUUCAAAUGGACCUCAAAAGAAUAAGAGAGCCUAAUCGAUUCAAAUAAAUGUAUUUGAGAUCCAAUUACUCGUAGUUUAAUGGUGAAUCAUUGAGAUAGGAGACUUCGGAAAGUUGUGGCAAAAUACGAUAUUUUUGAAACCCAAAAAACAAUGAGCCAAACAAUUUCCUUGGAUGAAAAAAGUUUGUAUAUCGGGAUUGUGAUGCAAGAAGAAGAACUUGUGUACUAUGAAUUUGAGAUGAACGCAAACCUUCAUUGUAACCAUCUAUAUUAAUAGCCAGGGAUUGUCUUGACUUCAGUUCAAUGAAAAUUCUGCAUAGACAAAGAAGUUUGUAUGUCUUUGUAAGAAUCACUGAGAAUCAUCAACUAAUUAUAAAUGAACUAUCAUAUCAAACUAAAACUUGUUAUAGUAAUUUAAUUUGUGUACAAAAUUGUGUUUUCUCCUAAUACAUAUUAGCUGUUGAUGCGUCCAUUGUAUAAUUUAGAAAUGUGAAAUCGAAUCAAAAUAUGUGCUAGUUCGGCCAAUAUGCUUGCAUACCAGGUUCUUAAUUAGGUUGGAUUGUGUUUGACCAAAAAAUAAUUAAGCCGGAUUAUAUUGAAUGGAAUACGUCUUUUCGCCGUUUUAAAACCUCGACGCUACACUUUUGAUCAUGAAAUUUAAAUCUGCCCUAAAGCUUUGUUGGAAUUCGUAUGCCGAUUGGAGGCUACAUUAUCUAAAAAGGUAAAACAAGAGGUAGACAUCUCUUCGUUAAAAUACAAAAUAAAUUUACAAAUAAAAAAAGUAUUUCAGAAAAUUAGGUUCUCCCAAAAUUCAUGGUUAUCAGAAUAAAGUAUACUAGUGGGUACCCUCGUGCUACGCACGAAUCUAAAUAACUGUAGUUAAAAUUAUUUAAUAACCAAAACUAUCAUUUCAGAAUCAGCAAUCAAAAUAAAAAUGAUUAUAUUAACUAAAUAUUCUAUAAAUAGAUAACAAUUGCAUAAAAUAGUUGCAUUCAAAUAAAGAGGUUGUAAACCAAAAAUUAGUUUGAAAUAGAUAUAUGUAUAAAGUAUUUUAUGUUUAAAAUUUGAGAUAUAUACAACACAACUAUAGUUUAUUAUAUUUGAUUCACUAAUUUUUCUUUGUAUUUUUCUUGUAAAUAAAUCUUCCAUUAAGUUAUGCAUUUUUAUUUUAAGUACAACAGAUAAAGUUAUGACAGAUUAUGACAAAAUAUAAUCGAAAAUAUAAUACUUACUGUUUUUGAUAUUUUGAGACCUAACAUAAAAUGUGAGGCCCAAUAGAAAAAUCAAUUAUGAAAAUGAAUAUCCAUAUUUAAAUGCUACAAUAACAGGUUCAUCAUUCUCCAACCUUAAAAAAUCCAUGAUAUAUUUUUAAUGGCUACAUUUUUUUCUUCUUUCAUUGUUCUAUUUUUUUAUUAUUAAAGUAGCAAACAUUUACUUGGAGCUUUGAAGAGAAAAAUGUAUCUUGGAAUGCAAACUCUAUUUAACGUAUUUUAGAUGAAUUGGGGUAAUACUUAAAAAAUUCUGAUUUUUGUUAUUUUGAAAUUUCUACAAACUCACGGGUGAACUCCUAAUUUCAAAGUCUUCACAUUUUUUCCAUCUGUAGUAAAUACUAAAUAGAUAACAUAAUUUAGCUAAAGAGAAGUCACACAACAGAUAUUAAAAUCAAUUUAUAAGUAAAAGAAGAAGAUAAAUACUUUACCUUGUUGCAGAUAGAUUUUUAUUUCCCAUCUUUGUUUCCUUCUAGAAGCUCUGAAACAUAAGUAUACUCAAAUGCCAUUUCCAAUCUGAAUUAUUUUACUGUUUGGGUUCAUACUAUAUCUUGCAAAUACGGUGAAAUUUGAAUCUUUGAAAAAACAGUUAGAAAUAGACAAAAAGGAAGAGUAAUAUAAGUUUAAGAAAUUCUUUAAUAUUUCGAUCAUUUUAAGAAGUUCUGGAGUCACCAUAUUUCAAACUGCGUGUGGAAAUAUAUAUUGAGAAGAAAACAGUUUCAGGAUAAUGAAACGUGGGAUGAAAAACUUUUGAGAAAAUUUAGGACUUUAGAUUGUUAAAUUGCAGAAAAAUAGGGGAUUGGGAUUUUUUUUUUCUCGGUCUCUUUUGCCUUUCUUGCACUACAAGAAAACAGCGACAUACUAAGGGAAAAAAUCGUCGGUAUGUCGUCAGAAUAACGCAAUUCCGACGACAUACCGACGAAAAAAGUCAUCGGAAAUAACUCUUCGAAAAUUCAUUUUUCCUCGGAAAUCCCUCGGAAAUUUUCGACGGAAUUUCGACCACAAGUUCGUUGGAAAGUCCUCGGAAUAUUCCGAGGAAGAUGUCGUCGGAAUAUCCCGAGGGAUACACUUCCUCGGAAUAUUUCCAAAAUUAAAAAAAAAAUAUAAAUUUAUUUUUUAAAAUUGAAAUUCGAAAAUAUAAAAUUAAAAUUGAAAUAGAAAACAUAUUUAAAAUACAAAAAAUAAUAAAAUAGUUUUUAUAAAUAAAAAAAAUGUUUUAUAAAUACAAAAUUAGCUAUAAUAAAUAUAAAUAUUAUUAUAAAUAUGAAAUCAUCUUUUUAUAAAUACAAAAUAGUUUUUAUAAAUACAAAAAAUAAUAAAAUAGUGUUUAUAAAUCAAAAAAAUGUUUUAUAAAUAUAAAAUUAGUUUUAAUAAAUAUAAAUAUUUUUAUAAAUAUGAAAUAAUCUUUUCAUAAAUACAAAAUAUUUUUUUAAAAAUACAAAAAUAAUAAAAUAGUGUUUAUAAAUAAAUAAAAUGUUUUAUAAAUACAAAAUUAGUUUUAAUAAAUAUAAAUAUUUUUAUAGAUAUGAAAUCAUCUUUUUAUAAAAAUAAAAUAGUUUUUAUAAAUACAAAAAAAUAAUAAAAUAGUGUUUAUAAAUCAAAAAAUGUUUUAUAAAUACAAAAUUAGUUUUAUAAAUAUAAAUAUUUUUAUAGAUAUGAAAUCAUCUUUUUAUAAAUACAAAAUAGCUUUUAUAAAUACAAAAAUAAUAAAAUAGUGUUUAUAAAUCAAAAAAAUAUUUUAUAAAUACAAAAUUAGUUUUAAAAUAUGAAAUCAUCUUUUAUAAAUCCAAAAAUCGAAUUUAUAUACAAAAAACGUUUUUUAUAUUUAAAAAUAGUUUCUAUAAAUACAAAAAUAAUAAAAAAAUUAUAAAAAAAUUCUAAAUCAAUUCAACACAACCAAAUCACAAUUCUAAACCUAUUACACAACAAAUCACAAUCCUACCCAAUCACCCUAACAAAAAUCUAUCAAAAAACUUCUAAAAUCAUCAAAUCUACUUAAGAACCUAACAAAUAGGACAUAAGAGAGUGGGAUAAGGUCCUUACAUGAUUUGUAAGGAAAUGGAGAGGAUUCGCCGGAGAUAUCGUCGCGAGAGAAGGUGGAGAACGCCGGAAGGAGAGAGAGAUCGCCGGAGAGGAAGAAGAGAGAAAUGGGGAAGAAGAUGUGUUUCGAGUUUAUAAAACCUAGGGUCCGACGGAUAUUUUCCGUCGGAAUUUCCUCAGUAUUUUCAAUUUCAAUUUUCGCGAAAUAUUUGGCGGCUUGUUUGCCCGGUUAAAUGAAAAUAUUCCGAGGAAAUUCCGACGGCCACUUAAAUAUCCGUCGGAAUUUCCUCGGAAUAAUUUCAUUAAUUCGAGGAAAAAGAAUAUCAUGUGCAUGUAUUUCUAUUAAUUUAUAUUGUUCCUCGGAAUUUCCUCGGAAUAUUCCGAGGAAAUUCCGAGGAACACAUGUUUGGGGUUUCAAAACAUCAAAUUUUUUUGCCCUAUAUCAUUUCUUAUACAAAUGCAAUGCAUACCAUUGAGGAAUCUUUGUAUAGAUGAUCAUAAACCAUGAAAUAACAAAAUUUCAAAACGAAUUGUAAGUAUUCCCUUUACCGUUCAUUAAAGUGUAUAAGUGUUUCUCUUAUGUUGUGGGGAUUUCGUUCAUACAAUCGGAAAAGUGUUAUAUAAGUGUUUCACUUAAACAAAUUUUGACUUCAUAAUCAGUCUAAGACACUUAAUAGGGGUUAUAUAAGUGUUAUUCAAACCGCAAAACGUUGUUUUCGGUUUAAAAACCCUACUUCCUCGGAAAAGCCUCGGAAUAUUCCGAGGAAAUUCCGAGGAAAAACAAGUGUUCCUCGGAAUUUCCUCGGAAUAUUCCGAGGCUUUUCCGAAGAAACAGAAACCCUAAAAGCAAAGCCCUGAAUCGUCGGAAAAGCCUCGGAAUAUUCCGAGGAAAUUCCGAGGAACACUUGUUUUUCCUCGGAAUUUCCUCGGAAUAUUCCAAGGCUUUUCCGAGGAAGUAGGGUUUUUAAACCGAAAACAACGUUUUGCGGUUUGAAUAACACUUAUAUAACCCUUAUUAAGUGUCUUAGACUGAUUAUGAAGUCAAAAAUUUGUUUAAGUGAAACACUUAUAUAACACUUUUCCGAUUGUAUGAACGAAAUCCCCACAACAUACACUUAUACACUUUAAUGAACGGUAAAGGGAAUACUUACAAUUCGUUUUGAAAUUUUGUUAUUUCAUGGUUUAUGAUCAUCUAUACAAAGAUUCCUCAAUGGUAUGCAUUGCAUUUGUAUAAGAAAUGAUAUAGGGCAAAAAAAUUUGAUGUUUUGAAACCCCAAACAUGUGUUCCUCGGAAUUUCCUCGGAAUAUUCCGGGGAAAUUCCGAGGAAUAAUAUAAAUUAAUAGAAAUUCCGAAAAAAUAUGAUUUUCUCGGUAUUUCAUCGGUAUAUUCCGAGGAAAUAUGAUUUCCUCGGUAUUUCCUCGGAAUAUUCCGAGGAAAUAUGAUUUCCUCGGUAUUUCAUCGGUAUAUUCCGGAGAAAUUCCGAGGAACCCCAAAUUUUGGGGUUCCUUGGAAUUUUCUCGGAAAUUCGUCGGAAUAUUCCGAGGAUCUCAUUUUCCGUCAGAAUGUCCGUCUGAAUUACGCUGUUUUCUUGUAGUGUUGUGUUUAGUUUUUAUUUUUAUUUUUUCUUUGUAAAAUUAUGCCAUGUGUUAAAGUUUUAUUGGUUAUGUAACUUGUGCUUUAGUAUAUAAGUGAUAGGAACGAAACAUAACAGGUAAACCUAUAUGUGUCUAUAGAUGUCAUAAGUAUGUACAUGUUUUCCCAUCUCUAAAUUUUACCAUUGGUCAGUUCCAUAUAUAAAGAAAAAUUGUUUCUCAUGGGUGAAAUUAGGAGUGGACUAAAUAUCUAUAACUUUUAAUUCGAUCUACGUAACUCUAUAAAGUAAAACAAAUAAUAAUAUGUAAUUCAUUAAAAUGAAUCAAAUAUCAUAUACUAAAGUUUAGUAUCUGAUACAUUAUAUAUAUACAUAUAUAUAUAUAUAUAUAUUGUGAGUGUAAAAUAAUGUCAGAUUUUGAUUAUUUAUUUACCAAGAUAUUUUAUAACUGUUAUUUACAAUUCCUGGGUACAUAUAUUAUAUAAUUAUUCUUUAUUUAUACAAGUUUCACAAUACUUUCAUUUACUAAAUUUAUUAUUUAGUUAUUUAGUUUUAAAAAUGACAAUUUUUUAUUUAUAACAAAAUACUGUUUUUCACUAUAUUUUAGAUUUUUUUAAAAAAUUAACUUUAUUUUUAGGAAUUGAAUCAGAUGACCAAUUAAAAAUAGUUAUUUUAUGGGAUACCAAGACACUGAGUAUUCAAACGGCAUCAGAACAAAUCGAAUCAUAAAAUUGUUAAUCUGUACGAAACAGAUCACGAAUAUCUUACAGAUAUCCGGCUUGCGUUCAAGCUCUAGGUGAAAUGACACGUUAAGAUCGCUGAAUUAAUUAUUGUGAGACUUUAGUAAACUACUAAUUAACCAUAUUAAAACAUGCAGGACUGUUACAAUAAAGAAUAGGUUGGGAGCAUGGAACAUGGAAGUUUUCAACUGUUCGAACUUCGAAAGAACCAGUACGCAUUAAAUUUUAAAUCUCAUGAAUGGAAUUCGUAACAAUGAAUUUGGCUGUUUACAGAACGAUAAAAAUGUUCACAUUUUUUGAUGAAAAAAAACCACCAAUGUCAAAUUUGGAUUCCUAAGUAAAAAUAAGUUGUGUAAGAAAUUACUGAUUCAAGAACCUAUCUCAUCGAUUACAGGAUAGGUUGUCAAAGAAUGGAUUUAAUUAUUACAUGGGAUCUCUUAUUACAUUAAACGAACAAAACAAUAUUAGAAUUGAUUAAAACAACCUUAAACCUAGAGUAUUUGUAGCUGAAUUUAGGGUUUUGUGUCUAAAAAAAACAAUUUUCCCUAGAUUAUAUAUUUUGAAGUCGGCUAGAUAUUUUCUCGCUUUUGUUUUGUUUUUUUUUCUCUUUUAAACGAAUUAAUUUUGGACCAUUUUUUUUUUUGUAAACUGAUUUUGGACCAAACAUAGAACCACAAAACAGACAAAGUCGCUUUGGAACUAGUUAGGUCUGUGGAACCACAUUUCAGGUGAAUUUGACGUCUAGUAAAUAUUACUGAACAACAGAAUUUUGGAUAUAUUCGUAUAUAAAAAUAUCUUGAGUAAUAAAGACGACUCGUGACUGUCCUUGUGUUAAGAAAGUUUCUGUCUUUCGAAGUCUCUACCGUCAUUUACGGGUUCCCAUCUCACUUCCAAGAAGACUUUUUGUUUAACGUUUGUUUUUAGAAAAUACGAUUUAAACGACAAAUUAGAUAAAUUAUUUAGCGUAUCUGUUUUGUCAAAAUCUUAUGUUUAUACGUAAUUAAGAUAUAUAGAGGUGAAAUGGAAACUAAAAAGAACAAUUUAAAUACUUGAAUAAACUAAAGUUAGCAUCACAAGUUUAGUGACAGAUUGUUUUCUUUUUUUGUGAAACGAGCGACAGAUUGUUAUUAAGACUGUUUAAUACGAAACUAUGAUCAUCUUAUAUUAUUUGAUUAAAAACUUAUAAACGUAAUAGAACAAAGAAAUUAUUCAAAUUGGUUAGAAAUUUAAUGCUUAAUUAGAAAUCAGUUAAUCAUAGAUAUAAAGCUUAUGAACGACUUAAUAUAUAGACAUUAUGUAGAUGUAUUAUUUCCUUAGUCUAAAUGUUUUAAGUUAGAUAAAAAAAACGAAAUAGUCCAAAUUAAUUAUGACCGUAAGGAGAAGAUGGUUCCAUACCAGAUUUUAGGAAAAGUGAGUCAAGGUUUCACAUCUCGACUUUGACUGCAUAAUUUUCGCCAUUAACAACGGAAUGUUUAUUUGUCAAGCCUAUUUUCCACGUUAAUACUUUUCUAUUGAGAUGAACAUAGAAAUUUCUAUCAACUUUUUUUUUUCAUAAAUAUAUUUAAAGCAUACUCCAACUUUGCAUAAUGACUAUUUUUUGUUUUAUCAAUCAAUAGUUUGCAUUAUCUGGAUUUGUACUCCAAUAAUAACACAAUCACGGCAUUAACACAAAUUACUGCAAUAUUUCUUGUUUGCAUAAUAUUCGUUUCCGUUAGUUAAAGUUAAUAAUUAUAUAUAUCAAAAUAUUUACUAUAAAUCUUUGUAGGUAGAGAUCCCCAGGUUUAUAGUUAUAUAUAAAUUAAGUCUUAGAAACUAGUUUAAUCUUCAGUUUAGCAGUUCUAACUACAUGGGUAAUAUGGGUCGCAACGAUAAGUCAUAACCAUUGUUUUUGUACAUGAAACGUGUUAAUUCUAGAAUGAUUUAAAUUUAUGUGCUCCGGUAAGACGUAAAGAAAAUUUACUCAUGAUCAAGAUCGACAUAUGGGAGUGUGAAAAGUGAAAACCAAAGUUCCUUAAGGUACACUAUUUUAAAAUUUUACAAAAGUGCACUUAUUAGAUAGUGUGAUGUUUUCACAAAAUAAAAAAUAUCGGAGUUUUAAAAUAGUAUAAAUUUUUUUAGAAAAGUGCACUUAUUAGAUAGUGAUGUUUUCAUAAAAUAAAAAAUAUCGGAGUUUUAAAAUAGUAUAAAUACAUCCGUAAAUAAUAGUAAAUUAUUAAUUAAAAUAAUCAACGAACCUCAAAAAAAAAUAUUUCCUUGUUUUCUUAAGUUUUUUUUUGUUUUUUCGAGGUAAAUUCGCGUUUAUUCAUGACAAAAACCUAAUUUAUUUUAAGUUUCACUUGAUGUAUAAUAUUUCACAAAACCAGUCAAUUAUGGAAGUUUAUUGAUCUACCCUAUAACACCUUAUUUAGGAAAAUUUAAUAUUAACGUAAACUUUUAACAUGGUGCAUAACCGAGUAUCUGUAAGACUUUAGAGUAAAAGUUAUACAUCAACAGUUCGAUUAGGCAUGGACAAAUUAUCCGGAUUCGAAGUUCAUGUAACAAAUAGAAUCUAAUUCAACAUAGAUAUCUGAAUGGUACAUGAUUUCCUAUAUCCAAAAAAUCAAUAUGAACCUGAACCGAAUCCGAAAAUUACAGGCAUCCAAAAAUAUAUGAAGUAUAAAUAUUAUAUAUAAAAUAUUAGUUAUAUUAAUACUUAUAAUAAUUCAAAUAUUAAAAAUUAUAAUUAUAAUUUUAAAUAUAUUAUUUUUUUGGAUAAAUCGGAUAUUUUAGAUAUUUUUUGUUAGUUUUGGUUAUUUUUGGAUAUUUUUGGACAUGUUUGGAUAUACAAAAAUAGACCCUAAUCGGAUAUUUUGGAUAAAAUGGAUUAUUUUUCUAUACAUUUGGAUCAUAAUAAGUCAAUCCGAACCGGGUUUGAUAUUUUACGGUUCAUUCGGAUAUACUCGAUAAUAUUCAGAUUUGCCAAGUAGUGAACCAAUUAUUUAGAGUUACCCGAUAUGUACAAAUUUUCCUAUUUCGAAUUACACCGAUAUUCGAAAUACCCGAUCCAGAUCCUAGUCUGAUACUUGGAUGCCCAUGCCUAAGUUCAACACUCGUUCAAACGUAUAUAAUCAAAAAGGUUGAUACGUUUUCGUAAUGAAUCAAAUAGACGACCCAAUUAAUGUAACUACGACUCUUCAGUGUCUGCCACGUUAAGACUCAUUGGUGUUUACAUUGUCAACACUAUUAUCACUUAUAUUACAAAUUAAGGAAAAAAAAUUAAUGUAUCGAGUUAUCCUGCUCUAUAAAUAGGCUGUUGCUCCAACACAUAUAACUUCACCCGAAGAAACACUCCUCUUAUUUUAGGCAAAAUUUUCUAUCAGCAUUUUUUUCUUUAAUAUCUCUCUUUUUGUGAUCUCUACCUCACAACAUGGCUAUGAAAACUUUCUUCGUUGUUUCUAUGCUUCUCCUUGCCGUCUAUUUGCAAACCACACUUGGUAAAAGAUUCAUGGCCUGCAAAUUACUAAUAGCUUUUUUUUAAUGUACAUAUUGAAGAUAUCUACAAUCAUACAAACUAGAUAUAAUCUUAUCAUACAAUAUCUUGUUAAAUCUUUUAUCAAAAAAAAAACAAUAUCUUGUUAUUCCUAGAAAAAGUAAGGUAUUUUUGUUUAUUUUGAAUCGAAAAAAUCAUAUUUAGAUCGGUAAUUAAAAAAAAAUAUAGAUCACCAUUUUUCCGACAAUCGUAUAUAGAUCACUUAAUGGAGGUUAUAUGCAUGUAAUAAAUAAGUACCAUUGCAAUUAAUUUCUUAGGGAACGAAGUCAAGUGCGAGAAGCUGGACAAAGACACGUGUGCGUUUGCGGUCUCGUCGACCGGUAAACGCUGCGUCUUGGAGCAGAGCAUUAAGAGGAGUGGAAUCGAGGGGUACACGUGUCGGUCCUCUGAGAUAGAAGCAGACAAGGUCACAAACAUUAUUGAAUCAGACGAGUGCAUCAAAGCGUGUGGUCUAGACCGGAAAUCUUUGGGUAUAUCCUCGGACGCACUAUUGGAAUCCCGGUUUACUCAGAAACUCUGCUCGGUUAAAUGCUUAACCCAAUGCCCUAACGUCGUCGAUCUCUUCUUCAACCUUGCUGCUGGCGAAGGUACGGUGUUGUUAGACCUGUUCGGUUAAAAUUACACAUUUUCUCUAAAUACAUUUCGGUUUAUUUUUUUAUACUAGGUGUAUAUUUGCCGAAGCUAUGUGAAUCACAAGAAGGACAAUCAAGAAGAGCAAUGUCGGAACUUAGGAGCUCGGGAAUUGUGAGGGACACUCUUGGACCGGUUGGACCGGUCAGGUUAGGCGAGAUGGCACCAGAGCCAGCUACUUCAAUGGACUACAUGCCGUACGCACCGGCACCAGAGCCAGCUACUUCAAUGGACCACAUGUCGUACGCGCCCGCACCUGCGUCGUAUUAAUUAAUGCAAGCAAGCAUAGAGAGAAGACGUACCAUGUCUCAUGAGAGAUCUGAAGAGAAUAAUAAAGAAGUUUGUGUUUAGUUUUUAUGGUUUUAUUACAUCGUUUAAUGUUUGCUUAUUAUGUAUUUCAUAAAACACACCACGAUGCAUAAGGAGACAGUCAGAGUUGUGCACGAUCUGGUGAAUUAUACUUGUAAUAUCGUAUUAUAUACUAGUAAUCAGUUUGAGCUUAUUGAUACCAAGAUAUACUCAAAACAGAUCAUUCAUUUAUGUACUAUACUCUAGCAGAACCUCCCCUAGCCCCAAGUAUGAGAAUUGUUUUGUGGGCUCGAUUAAAAGUAUAGAACAAAGCCUCUUCCUCGCUGCGUCUUUCUUCCUCUUCACUGCCUCUAUUGCUGCCGGUGUAAUCAAUUGGAAACAGUAGUCGACAAUGGUGAGUCAAAGAUAAAGACCCAUAUGGGUAAGCUCUGCGUGCCCUGAAACGUCUGAGUGGGAAAGAAACAAGGUUUGCUGAGUUCACUUUGGUUUUUAACUUCAGCUCCGAUAGUUUAGUUAGAAGAAAUGUAUGAGAGAGUAGAUUUUGUCUGAAUUAGUCAAAGGUUCUGUCUAUCAAAGGCUAAUUUCAUGUGAAAGUUUGUUCUGUCAUUUCUACUUCUCUUGAUGGUUUGGCUUUGGGGCCAAAAAAAAAAACUGAAUGACAUUCCGAAUUGUGAUAUAUAGAAAGACUUAAUAGGAUUGAUUUGGUUACUUAUGUCACUAAAGUUGAUUUACUUUUUCCGUCACACAUCCGUUUAGAACUCCAGAGUUAAGCGUACUUAGGCUGGAGUAAUGAGAUGAUGGGUGACCUAUCGGAAAGUGAUUCGCGAUACCGUGCGAGUGAGAUCAAAGCACGGGGAAAAGGUCAUGUGGUAAUUGCAUAGCCAGUAAACAAGAUUCUGACCUUGGAAAAUUAACGCACCGUGGGGUCCACGGACCGAGUGAGCGGGUGUGGGUGGCUCAUUAGCCGUGGGCGGUCGGAGCUUUAUAAGUGGUAUCAGAGCUGGUUAGCCAUCUCGGUUCUGACCCGAAAGGCGUCUUGAGACCUAUCAUGGACGCAACAAGGACGUUGCGUUCUUUGAGAAGGGAUGAAUUGUAACAUCCUGAAUUGUGAUAUAUGGAAAGGCUUAAGAGGAUUGAUUUGGCUACCUAUGUCACCAAAAUUGACUUACAUUUUCCGUCACACAUCCGUUUAGAGCUCCAGAGUUAAGCGUACUUGGACUGGAGUAGUGAAAGGAUGGGUGACCUAUCGGGAAGUGAUUCACGAUACCAUGCGAGUGAGGUCAAAGCAUGUGGAAAGGUCAUGUGGUAUUGUGGUGAUUACAGGGUCAGUAAACAAGACUUUGACCUUGAAAAAUUAACGCACCGUCCAUUAGAUGGAAUGGGAUCCACGGGCCAAGUGAGCGGACGUGGAUGGUCCAUUAGCCAUGGGCGGUCGGAGCUUUAUAAAAUACUUGAAUGUCGCUUUACCUGGUGGUUACUGGAAGGUGAAUAGUAAAUGUUUUUAAUGUUUGCUGUAGAUAUGCUUGCAAUUUAGAAGGCGAGGGCAUAGUCUUUAAAACUGCCCCCAAAUCCGAAGAGAGCAGCUUUGAGAAGAAACUGGGUUACAACUGUGGAGAUACUAACCAUUUACUUUCUCAUUGUCCUCUUCCUUUGGAAAAUGGUAUGUUUGUUAAAUUAUAGUAUGUUACUUUCCUGUGCAGAACCGGUCCUAGAAAAUCUCAGACCAGAAGCAAGUUUAAAAAAAUAGGCCGCUAUUCUGAAUUUCAAAUCCAGGUUGGGCCAAGAGAGUAUGCAACAUUCAGAUGUUGCCACUAGACUAAAGGUAAUUUUUGAAAAAUUAUGCCAAAAUUUUAUUUACAAUAAUAAGGCCGGAAGCCACUGCUUCCUUGGCUUGGCCCAAGGACCGGCUCUGUUCCCGUGUAAUCGUGUCUGUGACUAAUAGAUUCAUUUAUUGUGUGGAACAUCUUUCACAAUCCCUGGAGAGAGAGUUCACCAAGAGACCUUAGACCUACAUACUUCACUUUUUUGUAAGUUAAAAUCAUUAAAGAUUAUAUUUGGUUGUUUUUGUAGGAGAGACUAAAUUCGCAAGUUGUUUCGUAUGUAAAGAACAUGGGGACAUAAGCAAGAACUACCCUCAAAACAAGAAUGGAGUUUACCCAAUGGUACAAUGCUCAAAUCUUGUUUUGAAAUUUUUCUUGUCCCUUCGUAUAGAAUGAGUUUCAACGAGUUCCAUCUCGUCAAAGACUGCCCUGAUAAACUAAACAGAGAUUCAGCCCCAACAAAGCGUUCAAGUAACAUUUUCUUUCACUUCUUGAGCUUCUAAUUCACUCCUAGUCAAUGUAUUUUCGCUUUCACUUGAACUGCCUGUCAAGUGAUUAGAGAGACAGCAGUAAAUGCAAUGGCUUUUAUUCUUAUAAAAAACCUAACGUUAUCUCCCGCAUGGAAGCACAUGAUUUGAUGCUACACCAAGAGGGACACUCACUAAGUUCAGUGGAGACGAUCUUGAGGACGAUUUCUAUGAAGAGCCUAAAAGCAGCAAGUAGAUAAAGAGCUAUGAUGAUGAUACUACACUACACCUGAUGAUCCAGAGCAGAAGAUCAUCCCAAAAAGGAAACAAAGUCCAAAGGUUGUUAAUUUCUUAGGAUAAUACGAGAGGAUCUGUCAAUUUUGUAGGAAAGAAUUUUUUUUGUUCUCUAUCUGCCUCUUACUCUUAGAGUCAUUUAAGGAAAAGUUCCUAUUUAAAGAUUCAUAACAAUGUUAUGUAAUGAAACCACAUCCAGUUCUGUUUCAGAUCAUCUCUAAACCGAUCAAACCAACAAAGAACCAAAUAGUUUAAACCGCAUAUCGUUUUGUCAACCAAACGGUAGACAUAGUCCUCAAGUUGGAUGGAUAAGGAUGUAAAUAUGCUAAAAUUAGAGUAGAGCAGUUGUCCUAAAAUAAAGCAUGGUUAGGCGAAUUUGAAGGAUAGAGUUGAAGAAAAGGUGUGGUUUGAUGUUAAAAGAGGAGAGGCAUUAAUGGUUGUCCGAGUUAGUCUCAGAUUAGCCACUUCAAAUCAAAUUAAGAAUCUCUUCUUUCCCACAAAAGAGGACAAGAACAAAACAAGAAGUAACAUAUCUCUAACAUCAUUGUUGUCUUAGGUUUACCUCCAUCAACCAAACGCAAUGGUCUGUUCUCUCAUUCUCUUUUGUAUCCUUUCUCUUUGUAAUGAAGUUGUGUUAUAGAUGUUUGAAUAUUGUUUCUUGUUAUGCCUUUAUUUAUUUGCGUUCACAUAAGAUCAUAUUGGUUUAUUGUCCCAUUUACAAUCUUGGAUUACGGUUUAUCCGUAUACUCAUGUUUUGUAUGAAUUGGAAAGGCGAACGCAGCGUCAGGAAUGGCGGUGGAAGACGAAUGUAAGCUGAAGUUUUUGGAGCUAAAAGCGAAAAGAAACUAUAGGUUCAUAAUAUUCAGGAUAGACGGACAACAAGUGGUGGUUGAGAAGCUUGGAAGUCCUGAGGAGAACUAUGACGAUUUCUCCAAUUCCCUGCCUGCCAAUGAGUGCCGCUACGCUGUCUAUGACUUCGACUUCACCACUGCUGAGAAUUGCCAGAAAAGCAAGAUCUUCUUCAUAGCAUGGUACUUCACAACCCUCAUGCAACACAUGCACUUUUCAUGUUACAAAACAUUUUUCUCUCUAAACAACAUGCACUACGUGGAUUUGAAUGUUUGGUUACACAACAAAGACGAUAGCACAAAUAACUAGAUUAGGUGUUGUGAACUUAUAUAGAUUAAGGAUAAUGGAUGAUGCAUAUUAAAUUAGAUGAAUUGACAUCAUAAAAUCAGUUGGUGAUAAAUAGAUUAUUUUAUUUCUAUUGCAUAUUUAAUUUAAAAUCCUUUCCAACAAUUCCAAUGUGAUAUUUUAUUCACAGUAAUGCAUGUAUAUGAUAGGUCACCGGAUUCUUCGAGGGUAAGGAUGAAGAUGGUGUAUGCGAGCUCAAAGGACAGGUUCAAGAGAGAAUUGGAUGGGAUUCAGGUGGAGUUACAAGCCACGGACCCGAGCGAGAUGAGUUUCGACAUCAUCAAAAGUCGAGCUCUCUAGAUUGAUAUGUGCCUUAUUUCUUAUUAUAUAUCCAUAAAUGAUCCAUCAUCAUCAUUCAAAGUUAAUUAAAGAACUUCUGCAUGUUAUGUAACUUUCUUGGUUUCAUUCAUUCUCCUUCUUCUUGACUUUUUUUUAUUUGUUUACAUUUUAAACUGACAUGGGUUUUAUACUUUGGCUUGAGAGAAGCCUAAAACCAUGUAGUUUUCUCGUGUAAUAGCUGCAUACUUUCGUGGGAAAAUAAAAUAUAUUACUUUUCCAUUGCAACGUUAAUUACGACAAUAUGUGCAACAGAAACAACACAAAAGCAUUUGAGUAGUUUCGUACAAGAAACUAGACAAGCUAGUUUUAGCCUUUUAAGAGUUUUUCUUUAAUUUUAAGUGCACCAAAACGUUUUGAAGGUAAGAGGACGUCGGAAACAUCAAGCCUGGAGACUUUACUCUCCAGAACUAUCAUUGGCAUUAUCUUUGGUAAAGCUCUUCAUAAUAAAAAUUAAAAUUCUUGAAUUUUUCCUUGUAUUAUUCUCAAUAUAUAUGAAUUCUCUAUCAAACCGCUCACACUAGAUAUAUCGUGGAAACAUAGCAAAAUCUGCAGAAAGAAAUGCUAAUCAUGAAAAUAUAUACUCUUAGCCAAAUAUAGAUCAGAAUACGGUAUUCUGAAUACCUAUAUACAUGGUGAUGCAUUCUUAACAAAUAAAUUGACGAACCAUUUGUCCAGGAAAUUCUCUUGUACCGAUUUGCGCUGCGCGAUUCUUCGAUGCGUUUGAACUAUCAUUACUCAAAAUAUUAUAUUCUUUAGACCUACGAAAUGAACUUAUUAUUUUCUUUGAACCUACAAAAUGGACUUUUCACUUGAGAAAUGUGGUAGAAAAAUUACCGCUUAACCGUAAUCUCUCAGGUUAAGUUUCGAAAAUUUAUUCUUAUUACCUAAUAAAGACAUUUAUAUAGUUUUCGUAUCAUAAACCUAAUUAAAAUACUGAUAGAAAAAAUAUAUAUCUAAAUCUAAUUUUUUAAGUAAAACGACACCAAAACCCACAAAAUUCGCUAACCGUAGUCUCGUAUAAUGAACCAGUUAGUUAAACGUGCUAAAGUUAGUCUCUUCAUGGUAACAUGUUAACACUUUGGUUUUGAUAAAAUGUUUGACCGAGUGAAGAAGAUCCCGAACCUUCCGACAGAUCUCACUAUGUAAUGUUCAUUAAGAACAGUUGAAGCUAAGUCUGCAUCUUUGCAUUGUCUGGAUUUACCAUUCAAAUUGUUCUGUUUACGCCUGCAGGAUCCUCGUCGUCACUAAUUGCAGCUCAGAAAUCAUCAUCCAAUUUGUUAAACUCUUGAAAAACUAGGAUCAACGUCGACUGAUAGCUGUUUCAAGUUCUUGAAACAAAUUUACUCCUUGCAAAAAAAAAAUCAAUUUUAUAGUUGUAAUUUCAGUCCACAUAUACAGAUUUGGAAAAGCAUGUUGUUUGAUGACCUCAUCAAUUUUACAAUAAUAAAUAAAUAAAACAAAAAUAUCUUAAAAAUAGAUACAUAAUAUUAUAAAUAAAUAAUGUUGGAAGAAAAGAACAAAAAAAAAAGAAUGUACAAAAGAAAAGAAACAAGCAAUCAAUACAUGUUUUUAUCUCUUGGGCUCACUCCAAGUCUUGCCUUCAAAGAACUCGUUAAGCAUUCGCUCAAGAUCUUCAGGAGUGAACCUUAUGUACUUCUGUGGAUUCUUACCACUUUCUAUCAUGGGCCUGUGAGACAACACCAACAAAGCAACAACAUUUUUAUUCUUGCUGAACACGAAACCACAAACUAUAUACCAAAUCUAUUUCAUUUUCUUCAAGAACAAGAAACCACACAAACCUAAUCUUAACCAAUCUGUUUAAAGGUUUUUCUGAAUGGUACGUACCCAAAACGUUUGAGAAAUGAUCUGAACGCAGGCAAAAGAACUUCCGCAACAGCAAGCCUGAGAGAUUCACGCAGUUCACUGUCCGGAACAGUCCAUUGGCAUUGUCUUUGGUGAAGUUCUUCAAACUGAGAAUUGAAAGUCUUGAAUCUGUCUUUCACUGAUGCUCUCGAUAUAUUUGAGUUCUCUACCGGACCGCUCCCACUAGACUGAACCGUUAGACAUUGCAAAAUCUGGAAAUGAAAUGGCUAAUCAGAAAAACACUCUUCAAGCAUUUUAGAGCAUAAACCUGAAACAAACAUCAUAAAAACCUUUGCCCAUGAAACUCUCUUAUACUGAUUUGCGUGUUGCUGUACGAUUCUUCUAUGUAUUUGAACCCAAUCAUCACCCAACAAAUCCUUUGCUUCCGACCUGUGAAAAUGUAAAAACCUACUUCAGGAUUAUGUGCUUAAGGCUUUUUGGUUCUGUAUAAUUUUUUUAUUGACCCGGAGAGGCAGAAACAGAACCUCCUGACAGAUCUCACUAUGUAGUGAACAUUGUUCAUCAAGAAGAGUUGAGUUAAUGCUGCAUCUUUGUACUGCUUUGAUUUACCAUCCAAAUUGUUCUGUAAAGCAUGCAUGAUCCUUGUUGUCACAGCUCCAAGCUCUGAAUCAGGAUCUUUGCUGUCAAACUCUUGAAAAAGCAGCCUCAACGUCGAUUGGUAACUGUUCCAAAAUUUCAAAAUUUCAAGAUUGAUGAUUUCAAUUGGUAUAAAUAAGUAAAAGCUACUUACUCGAACAAGAACUUGACAUAGUUUAUAACGUAGCUAGUAAGCGGAUGCACUGUUCCAUCCAUAACCGCGGUUUUAGUAGCAUCCUUCUCGACCGCUUCUUCGAAAUCAGCAAAUGUUUCUUGCGCUGUCUGAGCUAAUCGUUUUGUCAGAUUCAGCGCAGAGUCUUUCAUCUCGGUACAAGGUUGGCUUCCAAAGACCAACUCAAUCUACAAAAAUGAAAAGAGAUUAGGUGCGUUAAUUAAUACACAUAAUAGUGAUGGAGUGAGAGAGAGUUAAAACGUUACCUCGGGUUUAAGCUCUCUCAUUAUUUCAUACAUAUCUAACAAAACAAACAGUUUCUCGGGUGAUCUCUUGCUUUUAGCGAUAGCCUCCCCGAAGCUAAGAAGGAUAGCUACACUAUUAGCAGUAACUUCACCAAAACAUUGGUCCCUCAGUGACUCAACACCGUCUAGUAUUUGGUCGCAGAUUUUCUUUUCCGCAGCAAAUAACAGUUUCACCUGUAUCAAGGCAGGCAGCAGCAUAAGCAAAUGCGUGUUAGACAAGGAACAAGCAAUGGAUCUAAUUAAGGCAUUUCUAGAAAAGAUAUAUAUAUAUAUAUAUAUUUUUUUUUUACAGAUAUUCGCAUGUAAUGAAUCCAAUUCCCAAUCUUGGCCUCUAAGACCUCCCAUUGCAUUCUCUGAACAUCAUCUUUGCUAAGCCUCUCCACACCUAACUUCUUAAGGCUCUGCUCCAAAACUGCCGCACGCGUAUCUCUAAUAGAUUACAAAAAGUAGUAUGGAUAUUGGUACAUAAAUUAUGUACAAAAAAAGGAGCAAAUAGCUUAGUUUUUUUAAUAACAAAUUCAUUUGAAUGACCUUUGUUUAUAAAAUUCUGAUUUGGAAUAAUUAAAGAAAAUGAAAAAAACAAAAUGUAAGAUGGACCUGUAAGUUUUGAAAAGUUGUUGCUGAUGACCAGCUUGAACCAUUUGUUGGGCCAGAUCAUGAAGCAGAGGAAGAACCCUCGGGGGAAUGACUGUUGGGACUGUGAAGAUAGCGUUUUCUAAGCUUUUCUGAUGCGGAUCAUGGCUCUUACCGCCACCACCUUCACCGUCUGUCGAUGGUCGAAGAUUGCUUGGAAGACAUUCGAACAGGCGAUCAGGUUCCAUUGGUUUGCUAAAAUAUUUCGAAAGAAACAAAAAAGUCAAAACUGUUAUAAACAAUCCUUUGUUUCAGUUAGGCACAAACAAAUCCGUGUGUAAUUCAAAGAUGAAACCUGUAGUUCUGCAGUAUCUGUCUGAACUCAUCCUCUAGCUUUGAUAGAGCUUUAGAGAGCAAAUUGUGAGCAUGGCCAAUAACUCCAGUGGCAGUACUCUUAAACAUCUUGUUGUUGCUAAAGAACUUAAUAGUGCCUCUUAGUUGAUCAAUUGCUUCCAAAUAGCUUUCAAGAUCCUCGUGUGGCCCUCUCAAUAUUUUAGCUUCAGCCUGACAAACAAAAAUGACCAAUAUUUUAUCCAUUAAAGCUUCAGUGAUCGACAGAGAAAGGAGAAUGUUAACAUCAACAAGAUGAAAAUGUUAAAAACAUAAAAACGCCUUGAGGUGCCUCUUAACCGAGCAUAAAAAAAAAAGAAAUCGAGGAAACAUCUUUUAGGAGAAAAAAAAAACAAUUACGUGAAAGACAAGCAAACAAAAUGAGAAGGUUAAGAGAAAGAGUAAAAAACCUUUUUACUGAGAUCAAACUGAUCCAAUAUAAGCUCAGCUUGUUUCAAUGCCUUGUCUAUAUUCUCAUGAGCUCUCCUUAUUGAAUGCGUUCUUAUCUACACAACAACAUACGCAAAGUCCAUAAACUCAAAAAUAAAAUUAGCCAAAUUAUGGUGUCAUUAAUCUCGCAUAAUCCAAAACCUAAUAUCAAUUUCCAACAACAUAUGAUCAGAUCUCAAAUCCGACAACCUAGGAUAAUGUCAAGAGACCUGAGUGGGACGCAUGGCGGUCUCAAGAGCGGAGAGACGGUGGUCGAAAGAGCCGAGGAUACCGACCAUGUUGUCGGUGAUGGUUUGGCUUUUCUGUAGAGACUCCUUCAUCAGACCUGCUCGCUCCGUUAGGGCUUCCAUCGCCUGAGCCACCCCCAUUUUGGAUCGAAGAAGGGAAUUGAAUUGCGUUGCAGAAAUGUUUUUAGGGAAACUGAAAUUUGUUCUGCGAUUUGGAGCCGAAGAAUGAUAUUAAAGAGGUUCAUGCGAUCUUUGUUUAAGAGAAGCCCCACCUAGCGAUAGAUUCGCGAGUUUCACCUUUUUAGGUGAUUUUGUGGGUCCCUUACUUCUUCUUCUUUUUCUUAUUGUUAAUUGAGCUACGGUUUGGUAACGGUCUUCUGGUUUUCCAUACAUUUUGUUUUUAAUUAAAAUUCGAUCUAACCGUAAAAUACCAAAGGAGGAAACCUAAAUUUUAGUUUGGGGCAAGAGGUUAGUCUCAAAGGAGAAUGUUAAAUUCCUUGAGGUUUAAAUAUACGAUUAUACUUGGUUAAGACUGGGGCCUUGCGCAGAAUAAACAUUAUAUAUGUAAAUUAUUUUAAGUAUUAUAUUUUUAACAUAUUAUAAAAUAAGAAAUAUAUAUUGAAUAAUUAAAAAGUCAAUAACUAUUACUUAUAUAAUUAAAUUGGUACAGACAUAUUAAUUAAAUACAAAAUAAUAGUAACAUAUAUAGUAUAUUUUAAUAUUAAUAUCUAUUAAAUGAUGUUUUUUACUCAUAUGUUUUUUCUGAUCAUUUGUAUAUGUUAUAUCAAAAAUUUUAAAUUACGGAAAACAAAUUUAUUAUUGUGGGAUUAAUAGUUUAAGUAAUUUAUAAUAUUUAAAAAAUUUUAAAAUGAUAUAUUUUUUUAUCAAAAAAAAUUUGUUCAAAUAAAAAGUCAAAAUUAAAAUAUUUAUGUAUUUUUAUAUGGUAUAUAAUUUAAUUUAAAAUGAUAUAUAUAUAUAUAUAUUUAUUUAUUUAUAUAUGUUUUACUCUUAAUACUUUUAAAUGAGACUUUCAACUGAUAUGAUUUUGUAAUCAUUUGUAUCAUGUCAUAACAAAAAAAUUUAAACCAUGGAUCACAAAAUUUGAAUGUGAGACUUUUAACAGUUUUAGCAAUUAUACUUGUUUUUUUAAAUUCAAAAUAUAACUAUACAGAAAAAUCUAAAUUUUUAUUAUAUGGUUAUAAAUAUGGUUGUUUAAUUUAUUUUAAUAGUUUAAAAUUAAACAAAUAUAAUAUAAGAUACACUUAUUUUUAUCAACUAUUUAUUAUUCAAAAUCAUUAAUUGUCAGAUACUUUAGCCAAAUUGGGCAAUUCUGUAAUUUUAUUUAAGGAAAUAAUGAAGCACAUUAAUAAUGUAUUUAUGGUUAGUUUAAUAAAAACGUAUUAUAUAUUUAGAUGGACCAACAUAUUUCUCUAAAAAUUUUAAGAAUCAUUCUAAUGAUGACAUGUGGCUAUAAAAAAAUGUUGUAAUGCUUCUCAAUUAAUAUAUAAGGGAUAGUUUGGGGCAUGAAUUUGAUUUAACCGUAAAAUACCAAAGGUUUAGUCUCAUUCCAUUGUUCCCUGCACUAGCAUGCAUGAAUUCUUAUCAUAAUGACAAGUUUUCACAAUACUGUGGUUUUACCCUUCUUGUAAAAGUACAAUGUUUUGCAUUGUAUCGCGAAAGAAUACAUGGAGCUAUAUAUUCCUCCGCCUUUUAAUGUCACAAACUCUGUCGGAGUUACUCUCACAGAGGAAAACUACAUUCUCUAAAAAUCUUAGUCUGGUAAAAUUUCUUGCCAAUCACUAGUGGUUCAAGUGAUUUUAAUAAAUUUUACAGGUUUAUUUUGAGUGUUUCAAAAUAAUAAAAAGUUUGAUGAAAUAGUAUAAAAUAUUUUUUUUCAGCCAAUAAUGAAACUGAAGUAUAUAUUUAACUUUCACAGAUCUUAAAGGUCUCUUAGGUUGAAGCCAAGAGAGAGUGCAGCUUUGUGAGAAUAUUUACUGUUCAUUUCCUUUUGUUGAGUACUUUAUCAAUAAUUUACCAGGCUGUGUUAUUUUGAAUGUCGCUCAGAUUACGUACUGUUCAGUUCCCUUUGCUUAGUACUUUGCCAAUAGUUUAUUGGGGUUUGGAUGCAUGAUUUCCUUGUAAUUCAUUUGGUAAAACUUAUUAAAAGGCUUAUUUUGAUGGUUAUGUGAUACUCGGGAUAUGGAAAAAUCAAGAGAGAGUGCAGCUUCUCCAGAGGGUGUGAGACGACGCAAUAUACUUGCCGUUUUAAUUAUUGUUUCGAACUUUGUCGUUUCUCGCAAAUGCUCAGUACAAAGCUGUGCAAAAUAUUUGGCUUUUCCAUUUUACUACGCAUUUUCACGUUCAUAUCACAGAUUCAUAUGCUAUACUCAUGUAAGGAAGAAUUUAUUCCAAGCAUAUAUUUAAUCCUUUUAACACACAAAUAAGGAUUACAUCAUAUCAAAAUACAUCCAAGUGACAACACAAAGACACCAACACAAACAUCAUUUAGUACUAGCAAACCCCAAAUCUCAGCUCCCAGAUUCUCAAAGUUGUUUCUGCACUGCCACAGCUCCGGCAGUACUGCCUGCCUCUCCCAACCCGCUUUCACCGGAAUCCGAAAAUCCUUUAGUCCCUACAUGUGCAACAAAACAUUGAGUAAGCCACAAGCAAAUAUAAAGACACCAAAACCUUAUUCAAAAGCAUCAACAAGUAGUCAAAGACGAGUUAGUUUUACCAAAGGAGGAGCUAAGUGGUUGUGAUGACUCUUCAACUGAAUUUGGAGAUUUCGGCUUCACCUCCUCCGUACCACCGAGCCAAUAGUUGUACACCCCUUUAAUCGUCCCCACUAUUCCUCCUUUCCCUUCCUCUUGAACCGCCUCACCUCCUUCUAUCUCCUCCGGUAACUUGUCGGAAGGGAUCUUCUCCUCGGCUACUUCCUCCUUUAUCUUUGCCUGCUUCUCUUCUCCAAGAUUAAGUUUCUCCGCGACCAUAUCAGAAAACGCUUUGUCUUCUUCUUCAGGUGUCAGCUUCUCCUCCAGAUGAUCUCUACUCGCCACAAAUUUGUCUUCCCCUUGUUCUGUCUCAUCCACCUCACUCCCAUCGCCAGAGAAAGGCAGUUUCGCCGUCACAGGCGAUGCAGUUUCUUUGACAUUUUCGUCCUCAGUAGUCAACUUAUCAGCAACUGUCUCGACACUCACGGGACUCUCGUGUUGCCCGCUGGAGUAACCUGUACUUGAACCAAUCAUCUCUGAGUAGGUGGUGGGUUUUACCUCUGCCGCCUCGUACCUUGUCUGCUCAGCCUGCGAAUCGAAAUCAUCUCUCUCUUU
rnacentral:lncRNA from 1 species